rnacentral:lncRNA from 1 species
AGGAUCUUAUUAAUUUAAGAAAAAUUGUCCUUUCGAAUUGCAAGAAUUUAAGGAAGAUCCCUAAUCUAUUAGGAGCCGUCAACCUUGAAAUCCUUUGCUUUAAUGGGUGCAACAGUUUGGUUGAACUUCCUGGCUUUAGUGAUUUGGCAUCUCUCAAAACGCUUCAGCUUCAUGGAUGUUAUAAACUUAAGAAGUUUCCUGAGCUCCCAAAUGAUGUUGUUGAAAGCUGGACUGCAAUGCAACAUGGAGCCAGAAGCAAGCUACUAUCGAGACCAGCAGCUAUCGAGCUCAACUCAUUUUGCUUGGUGUGCAGGAAUGGUUUUCAGACCAAAUGAAGCAACUGAUAUAGCUGCUUUGUUUUGAUGUAACUUAGUUCAGUUUAAUUGUAACUAGCUUUAAUAGUUAGUUGGAUUAAGUUUGUGAUUGGAUUGAUGAUGUAAAAGCUGAUAUGUCAGCUUAUUUUGUAUUUGACUCUAGCAUGUAUUAGUUUAGUCUAAGUGGGAGUAGUUAUGUCAUUAGGUAUCUGUCAAAUGAACCAAAAAAAUUUGUAGCUCUUUUAUAUAUUCAAAUCUUGAAUGAAAAAUGUAAUGUUCAGUUACAACUUUGCUGAGUAUUCAUUUUUUAUCAUUUUUUGCUUUGCUUUGCUCUUUCUUUGCUUCGAUUCUUCUUGCUUCAGUCUUGCAAACACUGUGUUGCAACUUUGUUUGAUGUUUACUGUUGCCAUUGUUCCAACAAAUGGUAUCAGAGCAGCCCGAGUCUUUGAGGGGCCUUUGUAUGCAAUCUGUUGUGUUCGAAUCAAAACCAACAGUAAGUUCAAAAUUUGGUAAGAUUGAAGCACUUAAAAUCAGUUUAACAGAAUGAGUUUCACUCCACCACCUCCACUAGUGUUCACUGGAGAAAACUAUCACAUUUGGAUAGUUAAAAUGAAGACUUAUCUCCAGGCACAUGAUCUUUGGAGUGUGAUCGAGAAUGAUGCUGAACCACCUCCAUUGAGAGCCAAUCCCACCAUUGCACAGAUGAGGCAGCAUGCUGAUGAGCGAGCCAAGAAGCAUAAGGCUAUGGCCUGCUUGCAAAAUGGAGUCUCUGAUGUGAUUUUUACUCGCAUCAUGGCCUGUGACUCACCAAAGCAGGCUUGGGAGAAGCUGAAGGAGGAGUUCAUGGGGACUGAUAAGACAAGGCAACAGCAAGUGAUCAACCUCAGGAGAGACUUUGAAAAUUUGAGGAUGAAGGAGUCUGAGACCAUCAAGCAGUACUCAGACAGGAUAAUAGCCAUUGUCAACAGCAUUAGGCUCCUGGGAGUGGACUUCACAGAGAGCAGAGUUGUUGAAAAGGUUAUUACAACUCUCCCUGAGAAAUUUGAGUCUAAAAUCUCUUCACUUGAGGACUCGAGGGACUUAUUAGCCAUUUCAUUGUCUGAGCUGAUAAACUCCCUGUAUGCACUUGAGCAAAGGAGGGCAAAUAGGCAGGAGGAGAAUCCUGAAGCUGCUUUCCAGGCUAAAGCCAGUGAAGGCUCGAGUGUGACUGCAAAAGGCAAGAAGCCUUGGCACAAUAGAAGGGUCAAGUCAGGAAGAGAUGAAGCAAAAAGGGUGUUCCCACCAUGUGUUCAUUGCAAGAAGACAACACAUUCAGAAAAGUAUUGCUGGUUUAGGCCAGAUAUUCAGUGUAGAAAAUGCAAGCAGUUUGGCCAUGUGGAGAAGGUAUGCAAGGGCAAACCAAGGGAGGCUGCUCUGCAACAAGCUAGACCUGCUGAGGACAUUCAAGCUCAAGAGGAGCAAGUGUUCACAGCAACUUGUUUUGUUGGUACAACCAAGGCCAGCAAUGAUUGGCUACUAGACAGUGGCUGCUCACACCAUAUGGCAGCAGAUGAGAAGCUGUUCAAAGGCCUAGACAGAAGCUUCCACUCGAGGAUUAGAAUUGGAGAUGGUAGGCUGAUUGAGGCUAAAGGCAAGGGCAGUGUGUUGAUUAGCACUGGUUCAGGUAAUAAACUGAUCUCAGAUGUGUUUUUUGUACCUGACUUAGACCAGAAUUUACUUAGUGUAGGCCAAUUAGUUGAAAAGGGCUAUACAUUGGUUUUUAAGGAUGGUUGUUGUAUUGUUCAAGACAUGAAUGGUCUGGAGUUAGUCACAGUCUCUAUGACUGAUAUGUGCUUCAUGCUGGAUGUUAGACAAAUAGAAAGAAAGGCAUACACCAGCCUUGUUGAAAGCACUGACUUGUGGCAUAGGAGACUAGGCCAUGCAAAUUUUAGAUCCAUCGAUCUGUUACAUAGGAUGAAUUUGGUUGAUGACAUUUCAAAAAUUGAAGUUAGUGGGAAUGUUUGUGAGGUUUGUCAGCUUGGUAAGCAGGCUAGACUGCCUUUUCCUGCUGACAGUGCUUGGAGAGCUCAAAACAAGCUCGAAUUGGUGCACUCUGAUGUUUGUGGCCCUAUGAGAACACCUUCAAUCAGUGAGAACAGGUACUUUGCCCUGUUUAUAGAUGAUUUAACAAGGUUGUGCUGGGUCUACUUCUUGAAGCAAAAGUCAGAAGUGUUUGAAGCCUUCUGCAAAUUCAAGGCUUAUGCUGAAAAUCAGUCAGGCUGCAAAAUUAGGGCCUUGAGGACUGAUAAUGGCUCUGAAUAUGUGUCUGAGAAAUUUCAGAAGCUUUGUGACAGUGCCGGGAUUCACCAUCAGCUCACAACAGUCUAUACUCCUCAACAGAAUGGAGUCUGUGAGAGAAAGAAUAGGACUGUACUGAACAUGGCCAGGUGCCUCUUGUUUCAAGGCAAGCUUCCAAGUCAGUUUUGGGCUGAGGCAGUCAACACCUCAGUGUAUCUGCUCAACAGACUGCCAACUAGAGCAGUCAAGGAUAAGACUCCUUUUGAGGCUUGGCAUGAAGUCAAACCUAUGGUAACACACUUAAAAGUGUUUGGCUGUGUAUGUUAUGCACUUAUUCCAGUAGAGAAAAGGACCAAGCUUGAGAGCAGAGCAACUCCAGGAAUCUUUGUUGGCUACAGCAGCAACAAGAAGGGCUAUAGAGUGUAUGAUCCUACAGCAAAGAAGGUUUUAGUCAGCAGGGAUGUAAAGUUUGAUGAGGAAAAGGUGUGGAAUUGGAAUAGUGUUGAGGCUGACUUGUCUGAAUUGGACCAGUUAGACUUGGUUGUUGAACCUGCAGAAGAAGGACUAAGUAAUGAUGAUGUCGAUGAUAUACCAGUGAGGGGCACCAGAACUUUAGCUGAUGUCUAUCAGAGGUGCAAUGUUGCUGUGAUUGAGCCCUCAGACUUUGAGGAGGCUGUUAAGAACAGAAGCUGGAUGAAAGCUAUGGAAGCCGAGUUGGAAAUGAUCAACAAAAAUCAGACUUGGGAGUUGGUGUGCAGACCAGAACACAAGAGGGUCAUAGGAGUUAAAUGGGUGUACCGGGCCAAGUACAAUGCUAAUGGCUCACUGAACAAGCACAAGGCCAGGCUUGUAGUGAAGGGCUACAGUCAACAGUAUGGUGUUGACUACCUAGAAACUUUUGCUCCAGUAGCAAGACUGGAUACAAUUAAGCUACUGUUUGCUUUAGCAGCUCAGAAGCAAUGGAGAUUUCACCAAUUGGAUGUCAAAUCAGCAUUCCUGAAUGGUUUUCUCAAGGAGGAGAUCUUCAUCGAGCAACCUGAAGGUUUUGAAGUUGCUGGACAUGAAGACAAAGUGUAUAAGUUGAUAAAGGCCCUCUAUGGCCUGAAACAGGCACCAAGGGCCUGGUAUGACAGAGUUGAUGCUUACCUGACCAAACUUGGAUUUGUAAAGAGCCUUAGUGAGCCUACUCUAUAUGUUAAAAGGUCAGAACAUGAAACCUUGCUGAUUGUUUCCUUGUAUGUGGAUGAUUUGCUUGUGACAGGGAGCAAAAUUGAGCUCAUUGAUCAGUUCAAGGUCCAAAUGCAGCAAGUGUUUGAGAUGACAGAUUUGGGGAUCAUGACUUACUUCCUUGGCAUGGAAGUACACCAGUUUGAUCGAGGUAUCUUCAUCAGCCAACACUCAUUUGCUUUGAAGAUCCUAGAAAAAUUUUGCAUGCAUAACUGUAAAGCAGUCAGCACACCUGUGGCUCAAGGAGAAAAGUUGACUAGCAGUGGUGAUCAGCAGAGGGUUGAUGAGAGGCACUAUCGAAGCCUAGUUGGUUGUCUAUUGUAUCUAACAGCAACCAGGCCAGACAUCAUGUUUGGUGUCAGCCUGUUAUCGAGAUUUAUGCAUUGUUGCAAUGAGGCACAUUUGAAGGCAGCAAAGAGGGUCCUUAGAUACAUCAAGGGCACUACUAGUUUUGGUGUAAUGUUUGAAAGUGGGAACCAACUGAAACUAGAAGGCUACUCUGAUAGUGACUGGGCAGGAUCUCUCGAUGACAUGAAGAGUACCUCUGGAUACUUCUUCACACUUGGAUCGGGCAUGUUUUGCUGGAGUUCAAAGAAGCAACAAACUGUUGCUCAGUCCACAGCUGAAGCAGAGUACAUUGCUGCAGUAGGAGCAGUCAAUCAGGCCAUUUGGCUAAGGAAGCUGCUUCAUGACCUUAAUGAAACUCAAGGUGAAGCAACUGAAAUUUGGGUGGAUAAUCAGUCUGCAGUUGCAAUAGCCAAGAACCCUGUGUUCCAUGGUAAGACUAAGCAUUUUAAAAUCAAACUGCACUUUGUUAGAGAGGCUGAACAAGUAAAGGAAGUCAGCCUUGUGCAUUGCAGCUCGGGAGCACAAUUGGCUGACAUAAUGACCAAGCCCUUAGGGGCUGCUCGAUUUGAAUCUUUGAGAAGUGCAAUUGGAGUGUGUUGCAUACAGUCCAAGGAGGAGUGUUGAAAACUGGACUGCAAUGCAACAUGGAGCCAGAAGCAAGCUACUAUCGAGACCAGCAGCUAUCGAGCUCAACUCAUUUUACUUGGUGUGCACGAAUGGUUUUCAGACCAAAUGAAGCAACUGAUAUAGCUGCUUUGUUUUGAUGUAACUUAGUUCAGUUUAAUUGUAACUAGCUUUAAUAGUUAGUUGGAUUAAGUUUGUGAUUGGAUUGAUGAUGUAAAAGCUGAUAUGUCAGCUUAUUUUGUAUUUGACUCUAGCAUGUAUUAGUUUAGUCUAAGUGGGAGUAGUUAUGUCAUUAGGUAUCUGUCAAAUGAACCAAAAAAAUUUGUAGCUCUUUUAUAUAUUCAAAUCUUGAAUGAAAAAUGUAAUGUUCAGUUACAACUUUGCUGAGUAUUCAUUUUUUAUCAUUUUUUGCUUUGCUUUGCUCUUUCUUUGCUUCGAUUCUUCUUGCUUCAGUCUUGCAAACACUGUGUUGCAACUUUGUUUGAUGUUUGCUGCUGCCAUUGUUUCAACAGAUGUUUCUUUCUUAGAUUUAGCCGAAACUGGGAUAGAAGAAGUGCCAAAUUCAAUUGAGCAUCUCGCUGGACUUGAAACAUUGUUAUUGGCAAAAUCAAAGAUAAAUAAUGUAUCGUGCAAUAUUUUGAAGUUGGAAUGCCUUCGUUAUCUGGAUUUUAGUCAUUGCCUAGUAGCCGAAUUCCCAGAAAUUCUACGAAGACCCGAAAGACCCGAGAUGCAAGAACUUAUCCGUCCAUAUUCUUUGCCACCCUAUUUCCCCCUCCCUGGUAGGAGAAAGUUUCCGAUUGUUCAUGUGCCCCCCAAAAUCCUAAAGUUCAAAAGGCUUGAAUAUUUGAAAAUGGAUCAUUGCGAGAGUCUUAAAUUACUUUCGGAGCUUCCACCAUAUUUGCUGUACUUGGAUGCACAUGGCUGCAAAUCGCUAGAAAAAGUAUCGUUUACAGAUCGAAAUCGAGACCUAUAUGAACUCUAUUCUUUUUACGGUGAAGAUGAGUUCUUUAUGAUAUUCUCUGAUUGCUUCAGCUUGAAUCAAGCUUCAAUUAAAAACAUUGAAGGAAAUGCCAUGCAAAAAAUUGAAUCACUUGUAAAGAAAUGGGGAUGUAAAUAUGAUUAUGGUCCAAAAUCAUUGUUUUGCUGUUUCCCAGGGAGCGAAAUUUCGGCCAGUAAAUUCGAGUAUCAGGGGAUGAAUUCUUCAUUGAAGUUGAAGAUAACCCCAAACGAGUUUAGUGAGAGCAGAGUCUUGAGUUUUGCUAUCUGCCUUGUGGUUGAUCUCACGCAUUGCCAUAAAUACAAUACAGAUCUUCGAGGUAUCUGUGAAUACCAACUAACGGCCUUCGAUGGUUGUUAUGAAAAGUUCGAAUGUGAGUGGGGUUACAAGCUAGAUUUUGAGUUACAUCGAAAGUACAUGGGUGAUCACGUGUUGAUUCUAUUCAGUGACAAACUGAUCAAAAAAGACGACGAUUAUGUGGAGGCAUCAUUUGAAUUUUAUAUAAAAAAAUGCUACUACAAAAGCGAUGCUGAAGUUGAUGACAUCAAGGUCAAAAAAUGCGGUGUUCAUGUAUAUUAUGUGGCUGAAAACUACAAAGGUCCAAUUAAUCCUUAUACCAUGCAAAUGUGAGGACCCGAUUAUCGGUGGCUCAUUGGAAUAACGUCAGCACUGGCCACGGGGGAAAACAGUAAAAUCACUAGGGACAACGGAAACAAAGGGGGAAAAAGGAGGAAAUUUGUUCAUGACUUAAAGGGUUGAUAUUGCAUCUCUUCCUUAGGUGCUAAGGUAAACUUUCCACCUAUUCCCUAUAUAUAUAUAUAUAUAUGUUAAUUUGAAAGAUUGCUUUUGUUUGAGACUGGUUUUUCAUAUAAUAACCUAUACUUUUAUGAUGGUGUAGGUGUUUGUUGUGGUAUAUCUUAGACAACAUAAUGAAUGGUCUCUUCAAUUUUCCCUCACUUUCAAUGCAUUUUGUUAUGUUUCUUAUGCAUAUCUUUUACAAUUAUAUGACUCAUUAUCAUCUGUAGAUUUGGUAGUCUAAGUGUUGUUUGAUAAUUCCUUAAAAAAUUUAAAUUGACUGAAAAUUAAUAUUUUUAAUGAUUUAAUUUUUUAAUCAUUUUUGAUAAUUCAUAAUAAAAAAGUAACUGAUAAAUUUCUUCUUUUUUCUUUUAUGAUGAUAAGUAGAUAAGGAGCUACUACGUAGCACUUAAUAUAAAAAAAAUUCAAUUCUUUUUAUCUUAUUUUCUUUGUUUUAACAUUUAAAAUUUGAUACUAUGAAAGGGAAUAAAGAUGGAAGUGACUGCUGUAAGCAAAUCAUAUGAGAAAAUAGAGAGCCAAGAGGGAACUAAUGGCAGAUCUUUGGAAAGGCCAUUAUACUUUGAGCUUUAGGUAUACAAAAUAUCAGAGGAACAUGCAAGCUUUUAAUUUUUUCUACUGAAUGUUUGCUUCACAUUUGUUCUUGAACUGAGAUAUUGGGACAGACUGCAAUUUGUGAACAGAUUGCUUUGUUUUUGGACCUACAGAGGAACCGUUUGCUCUUGAGAAUUUAGCCUUCCUAGAAAACAAAAGUAAAAACUUCAAAGUGAAGGGGUUGGUUUCAUGGUACAGCCAUUCGACUUGAUUAUCACAUCAUCUUGGGCUGAAUCUUGAAUGAAAUUUCCUUUUUUUCAAGAUUAUGAGAGAUUGAAAUUUGAUUUUUGUAAUUAAAAUUCUAGAGUUUUACUCUGUUUUUGGAUUGAAAGGAUGCAAUAGUGGAAUUGGUAGUCACUAAAUGAGUGCCAUUUAGCAACUUGCGGAUUUUGUUGUGUUCAAUCUACUUGGAUUUGCAGGGCAAAAUCUAUUGAAUCAAACUUUGCUUUGUUGUACAUUAGGUAAUUAAAAUAAGGAAAACUAUGUCAUACAUUGUGCCUAGCCUUUGUAGUAUUAUUAUUUUAUUCUAUUGUUAACCUUUUGCUCUUGGAAUCAAAUGUACAAAUAUAAAAAACAAAUUGAAGUAUAAUGAACUUGAGAAUUCUCUUAUUUUGAUAAUCAUCCCAAAGCUUAAAUCCCUUAAAAUUGGCACCUUUCCACAUAUUAGUAUUUAAGGGGUUUUCCCCCUAGAUUAGUACUUAGGAUUUUUGUGUAAAUUAUUUUGGUAACACCAUUAAAUUUAAAACACGUUACACUCUCAAAUCAUGACAUGUGUCAAUGAUGAUAUCAAUUUUAAUGACAUAAAAUUGGAAAUUUGUUUAAUAGUUUGUGAUAGUUUCUUUUUUUUUCUCAUCUCCAUUCCCCUCUUGUGUCUUUGUUCUUUUGUAGAUAUAGCAUAUAUUGUCCAAGAAGGGAAUUCUCCAUAUAUAUUAGUUAAUUUGGAGGAAAAUUGAACGGUAGUUGGAGAUUUCAAUACAGUAGCACAAUGAUUCUGCUUUGGAGUUGAUACAAUAUCCAUAGGGGAUUUUGGUGAGUACCAAAAUUCAGAUAUUAAAAUUCAUACUUAAUUCUUAUUGAGAGUUGACUUGUUAUUGGUUGGUUUUUUUUAAAAUCAUAGGACCAAUGGUGGACUCGAUUCAGCUUCAUUGUUUAGUUUCCAGCAUUGGUGUCAUCUAGUAUCUCAAUACUUGCUGCAUUUUUGUUGGGGAUUUAGCACACUUUAACCGGAUAAAGUAAGAACUUCAAUCUGGACUUUAAUAGCAGUGUAUUAUACCCGCGUAAAGAAUGAAGGAAAAAUACUUGGAGUUCAAGCUUUGAGCUACUGCCAGGAAUGGAGAACAGAAUUUAGAAGGCAAAGAAAGAUGGAGCAUAUGGAAGUAAAAUAUGAUGAUUUCAUUCAAAAGAAACUUUGGCUCAAAGCCAUUAUAUAUACUAGUCAUUGCUGGUCAAAAUAAACAAAUCCAUCACCUAAACACUACCUGACUCCACCUAUUACAUUGGAACUAGGUGAUAUUACUUGCACACUUGAACAAAGCUGGUAACCAGCUCUUUGACCAUCAAGUUACAUCAAUUUGUCAUCCAAGCAUAAUUAAAAAUGAACUAAAUUACAAAAAUAUUGUUAAAAAGUAACAAAAUGAAACUGAGAUGAAACAGUGGUAUUAACAUCUCCUGUUGCAUGUAUUUUACCCGGACAACUUAUGUGCAAAAAAAAAUCUUGCGUGCAUGAAUUUGCUUGAGCUGCAUGUGUUGCAUGGGAACUAACUUCAACACUCCUCCUUAGUUUCCAUGCUUGUAACACCUAGCUGCUUUCUCAGUUUUAUAAACCUUGACACACCAAGGGCCUUUGUGAAAAUGUCAGCAACCUGUUCCUCUGAAUUGCAAUGAAUCAGCUCCAGAUCUCGAGCUUGUUCCAUCUCCUUUAUCACAUGUAACUUGAUGCUGAAGUGCUUCGUUCUACCAUGAAAGACAGGAUUCUUUGCAAUUGCAACAACAAACUUGUUAUCACAAAAGAUUGCCUCCCUUUAAUGUAGGUUAAGAUCAGCUAGAAUUUUUCUCAGCCAAAUGGCUUGAUUUACAGCAUUGGCAGCUGCAACAUAUUCAGCUUCUGCUGUUGAUUAGGCCACCAUCGAUUGUUUCCUUGAGCUCCAACAAAACAUGGUUGAGCCAAGGGUAAAAGCAUAUCCAGAGGUGCUUUUCAUAUCAUCACUUGAACCAGCCCAGUCACUAUCAGUAUAGCCUCUCAAUUUCAAACUUUCAGCUUUGUUGAAUAACACACCAUAGUCAAGAGUGCCUUUGAUGUACCUUAGCACUCUCUUUGCUGCUUGAAAAUGCUGGACAUUACAGCAAUGUAUAAACCUUGAUAACAUACUCACAGCAAACAAGAUAUCUGGCCUAGUUGCUGUCAAAUAUAACAAGCAGCCAACUAGGCCCCUGUAGGUAGACUCAUUGACUGGUUCAUGAUCUCCUUGGCUUGAUAGCUUCAUUCCAACAGCAAUAGGAGUGCUUGUUGGCUUACAAUUCUCCAUUGAGAAGAAGAUUUUUCCUUCUGCUUGGUGCACCUCCAUUCCCAAAAAGUAUGUCAUUAGCCCCAAGUCAGACAUUUCAAACAUGUCCUUCAUUUUGGCUUUGAAUUCAGCCAACAUGUUUUGAUCUCCUCCAGUCACCAAAAGGUCAUCGACAUAGAGGGAUACAAUAAGCUGUAAUUCAGCUUCAUUCUUCUUGACAUAUAGUGUUGGCUCACUAACACUUUUGUUAAAUCCCAAACUGACCAAGUAACUGUUAAUUCGAGCAUACCAGGCUCUAGGAGCCUGUUUCAAGCCAUACAAUGCCUUCUUAAGCCUGUACACCAUUUGUUCUUUGCCAGACACAACGAAGCCUUGAGGCUGAUCAAUGUAGAUUUCUUCUUCAAAGAAGCCAUUUAGGAAUGCAGACUUGACAUCUAACUGAUGAAUGACCCAUUAUUUUUGUGCUGCUAAAGCAACUAGCAAUCUGAUGGUGUCAAGUCUGGCUACUGGUGCAAAAGUCUCCAAGUAGUCCAGGCCAUAUCUUUGACUGAAGCCUUUGACAACAAGUCUGGCUUUCAGCUUGUUUAAACUGCCAUCAGCAUUUUUUUCGACUCGAUAGACCCAUUUAACACCAAUGGUCUUUCUGUUGGUAGGCCUUUCAACUAGCUCCCAUGUUUGAUUCUUUUGUAUCAUCUUGAUUUCUUCAACCAUGGCCUGUUUCCAUCCUUCAUCAGCUUCAGCUUCUUCAAAACUGCAUGGCUCCAAUAUGGCAACUUGUGCUCUUUCAUAAAUUUCAGCUAAAGGUCUAGUGCCUCUGGCUCAUUCUUGUCUCAAUUCCAGUAUCUUUUUUCAUCAAAGAUCACAUCUCUGCUUAUUUUAAUUUUGUUUAUUACAGGGUCCAAGAUCCUGUAGCCCUUCUUGACCAUACUAUACUCGGCUAAAAUACCAGGAAUAGCUCUUUUGGACAACUUAUCCCUCUUUACAGCUGGUAUUUAGCUGUAACAUAGGCAACCAAAGACUUUCAUAUGAGCCAAUGAUGGCUUGAACCCAAACCAGGCCUCAAAAGGUGUCUUGUGAGCAAGUGCUUUGGUUGGAAGCCUAUUCUAAAUGUAGACAGCAGUAUUGACAGCUUCAGCCCACAUGGUCUUGGGCAAAUUCUUCUCAAAUAAUAAACAUCUGGCCAUAUCUAUCAAGCUCCUAUUCUUCCUUUCACUUACAUCAUUUUGUUGAGGUGCAUAAGUGUUGGUGAACUGGUGUUUAAUACCUGCUUCAUUACAAAAGGUAUUAAACCCGAAUAAAGUAUACUCUGUUCCAUUAUCAGACCUAAAGGUCUUGAGUUUACAGCCUGUUUUAGUUUCUGCUGCAGCUUUAAAUUUCUGGAAUAUUGAGAGUACUUUAUACUUAGUGAAAGUAUGCCCAACAAUACCUGGAGUAAUAAUAAAUAAAUAAAAUGAAGUAUCUGCUUCCAUUCAAUGAUUCAGUAUUCAUGGGGCCACACACAUCUAUGUGUACAAGCUACAGCUUCUCAGAGGCUCUCCAUGCUUGAUUGGUAGGAAAUGGCAAUCUUGCUUGUUUUCCCGAUUGACAGACUUCACAUACCUCUUCUUCCUUAACAGAGUUGGUGAAGUUUUCAACCAAGUCUUCACUGAUCAUCUGAGACAUUGAUCUGAAGUUGGCAUGCCCAAGCCUUUGGUGCCAAAGCUUGGAGUCUUCAGAAGAAAUAGCAUAGGCAUUAUUAAAGCCUUUAUUCUAGUCCACAACAAAGCUCUUUUCUGUCAUGGCUACUGACAUGAGCAUAGAUCCACUUGGAUCACUAAUCUGAUAUUCAUUUUCUUUGAACACCACAGUAUAGCCUUUUUCAACUAAUUGAGCUAUACUUAAUAGGUUUUUGUCAAUUUCAGGAACUAACAAAACAUUUGAAAUGAUCUUGUUACCUGUUGGCGUGCAAAUAACCACAUCUCCCUUUCCUUCUUCCUUGAUAAAGUGGCCAUUGCCAACUUUAACUUUAGUUUUACAGCUUCUGUCUAAAGACUUAAAAAUAGCUGCAUCUGGUGACAUAUGGUUGGUGCAGCCACUGUCAAGGAGCCAACCAUUUCAGACUUUCUUUUGACCAGCUGAGCAUGAAACAGCAAAGACUUGCUCUUCAUAGUCACUACUGUCUUCAGCCACUCGAGCUACUUUAUUCUUGUGUUGUGGUUGGUUUUCGCCAGGUCUGCCUUUUUCUUUGCAGACCCUUUCAACAUGGCCCUUCUUCUUACAGUGUUGACACACAGCAUCUGGCCUGAACCAGCAUCUGGCCUCUGGAUGACCAAGUUUUUUACAAAAACUGCAAAGUCGAUCUUCUCCUCUUGCAGCAUCAGGCUUAGACCUAUUUUUCCAAUUCUUCUUGCCUUUGUAGGCUGAGGAACUUGAAGCAGACUUGGUUUUAGCUUGGAAAGCACCCUCUUGGUGCUCCUCCAUCCUGUUAGCUCUCCUUUGCUCCUGAGCAUAGAGGGCAUUAAUGAGCUCAGUUAAGGAGAUGCUUGCUAGGUCUCUUGAAUCCUCUAAGGAGGAUAUUUUUGCUUCAUACCUUUCUGGUAAGGUAGAGAACACUUUCUCCACAAUCCUUGCCUCAUCAAAUUGCUCACCAAGGAGCCUUAUGCUGUUAACUACAGCUAUGAUUCUGUCAAAAUACUUUUUGACAGUUUCUUCUUCCUUCAUCUUCAAAUUCUCGAAAUCCCUUCUUAGGUUCAAGAGCUGCUGCUGCAUUGUCCUCUCUGUGCCUUGGAACUCCUCUUUGAGUUUGUCCCAGGCUUGUUUUGGUGUUUCACAAGCCAUGAUUCUAGUAAAAAUUACAUCAGAAACACAGUUCUGAAUGCAUGACAUGGCCUUGUGCUUUUUACUUUUUUCUUCAGAGUACUGCUUCAUUUGAGCCACUGUUGGAUUUGCUCUCAAUGGUUCUGGUUCAACAUCUGAGUUAACUACCUCCCAUAGAUCAAAUGCCUGGAGGUAGGUUCUCAUCUUGACUACCCAAAUGUGAUAUCAUUCUCCAUUGAAAACUAGAGGUGCAGCUGGUGAGAAGCUUGAUGAAGCCAUCAGUAUGUGAUCCAACUAUAACAGGUGCACUAAGAUAAAGGCUCUGAUACCAAUUGUUGGGGAUUUAGCACACUUUAAUCGGAUGAAGUAAGAACUUCAAUUUGGACUUUAACAACAGUGUAUUAUACCCGGAUAAAGAAUGAAGGAAAAAUGCUUGAAGUUCAAGCUUUGAGCUACUGCCAGGAAUGGAGAACAGAAUUUAGAAGGCAAAGAAAGAUGGAGCAUAUGGAAGUAAAAUCUGAUGAUUUCAUUCAAAAGAAACUUUGGCUCAAAGCCAUUACAUAUACCAGUCAUUGCUGGUCAAAAUAAACAAAUCCAUCACCUAAACACUACCUAACUCCACCUAUUACAUUGGAACUAGGUGAUAUUACUUGCACACUUGAACAAAGCUGGUAACCAACUCUUUGACCAUCAAGUUACAUCAAUUUGUCAUCCAAGCAUAAUUAAAAAUGAACUAAAUUACAAAAAUAUUGUUAAAAAGUAACAAAAUGAAACUGAUAUGAAACAGUGGUAUUAAAAUCUUAUGUUGCAUUUAUUUUACCCAGACAACUUAUGUGCAAAAAAAAUCUUGCGCGCAUGAAUUUGCUUGAGCUGCAUGUGUUGCAUGGGAACUAACUUCAACAAUUUUCGUUCAAUCAUAGCUUGAUUCAUUAGAAAAGAUUGGUUAUUUGUGAGAUUUGUUUUUUUUAUAUCCUUUUCUUUUUUGUUGAUGUAAGACUAGGGAAUGAUAGAUCAUUGAGAACACCUGAGCUGUAAGACCUUCAAUUUGUUUUACUGAAUUCAAAGUAAUCUUUAGAGGCCCUUUCUGGUUCUGGCAAUUCAGUCUUGGUGGAGAAGUAAGUUACCUUUGACUUAGACUUAUUAUUAUGAUUUUAGGUUCAUUUAAUGAUUUUUAGCAUCCUCGCCGUCAUUUAAAGAUUUUUAGCAUCCUCGCCGUCUUUUCCCCAUAUUUAUCAAUGGGUUAUAUAAGUCCAGAAUUUGCUAGAGAUCUCAAAGCUUGUGGGCUGAACACGUGGAGGUGGAGGCAACUUUUGACAGUUUUCAUUCUCAAGCUAGAUUGGGUUAGUUUGCUGGUAGAGCCAUUGGAGUCGAUAUUUUCUUAUCUUGGAUUUUGAUUAUCAUAUCAGUUUGGGCUGAAAUUUCUUUGUAUGUUACUACCUCUCAUGUUGUUUGAGCAUUGCAGUGAAGAGAUAUUAAGAUUCAUACUUGAAUUCUUUUUGGCAAUUGACUUGUUAUUGGUUGGUUUUGAUUCAUAGGAUCGGUGAUGGAUAUCAUUCAGCUUAAUUGUUUAGGUUCCACCAUUGGUGCUCAUGCCAUGGGCUGUAAGUAGAGAUUUAAUCAUAUUGUAUCUCAAUACUAUCUGCAGUUUACUUCAAUGAUUCAUUCACCCAUUGAUUUAUGUUUCAUAUUUUCUUAAAACGUUAGUAAAUAUAUAUAUGUUUUCAGUUCAUGAUUUCUGAUUUAUAUUCAUGUUAGCUAAGGUAAACCUACCAACUAUUCCCCAUAUAUAAUCUAUUUGCUAUGUUUUAUUAUUUUGAAUUUUAUGACUAUGAUCUAUUGAUUCCAUAAAACUUGAUGAAAGCCAAGCCGGACACAAGUUCAAUACUCUACUGGAAUUGACGUUGCAAAUUAUUGGUGGUUUUGAUAUCUUCUUUCUCACCAAUAAAUGAAGUUCCCACAAAAUUACUAGUGUUAAGGUGAAUGUUGUGAAUCAAUGCAAAAUCCACAUUUAUAUAUGUGCGCUUUUACGUUUUGAAUUUGGUGAUGUGAAGGGAAUAAAGAUGGCAAUGGUUGAUGAAAGGAAAGCAGGUGAGGGAAUAAAUGACAAAUUUUUGUAACAAGUAAGCUUUUAUGAUGUUCAAUUUCUUUUUUUGAAUGAUUUUUUCAUAUUGCGGUUGAACUGAGAUAUUAAAGCAGUACUACAACUUGUCAACAGAGUUGCCUUGUUCAUCCCAUCCAGCUUUGCUUCAACGCUUUCUGGAUUUUGGCCAUUAAGAGGAAGCAUAUGAUCUUGGGUAAAUUACUUUUGACUCAUUUUGAUUAUUAGUAUCCUCAUGGCAUUCGUUUCCCCUGAUUUACCAAUGGAUUAUAUAAAUGCAUGCAGAAUGUUGAAGUUGGCCUGCAUGUGGCACAUGCAGCACAUGCAACACAAGUUGUGCUGAUGAAGUACUUGCAGCUGGAAAGGAUCAAGCUGCUAUAUUAUUACCGGAUGAAGUAUGCAUGAAGUUGCUGAAGCACAUCACUGCUAUAGUAUUUCAUUUUGUUUUGUUACUUUAAACAUUAUUUUGUAAUUAGUUUGAUCUAAACUAAGUUGACAUUGUUUUUUUUAUGUAAUUUGAUGUAAUUAGGUGCUGAUAGAUUGAUAAAUUAGUUUACCUAUGUGUACAAGUAGCGUUUUUUCAUAAGUUCCAAUGUUACUUGGUGGUAAUAGGUAAUGUUAGGUGACAAUUUGCUUUAUUUUGACCAGCUAAAUGUUUGGCAUAUGUAUUGGCUCUAAGCCUUCAUUCAAUGUUAAUGAAAUCACUUUGAGAAUUUCAUCCAAAUACUCUCUCAAUUCUUAGCAUUCAUUUUUAUCCCUUAAGUCCGAUUCUGUUCAUUUGCUCAAAAUCUCCUGACUUGAAUUUCAAGUUUUCUUCAUUCUUUACCCAAAUUUAUUUCGUUGUUGUUUAAGUUCCUAACUGAGCUUCAUACUUCCUCUAGAUAAAUUGUUCAAAAACCCAACAAUUGGUAUCUAAAGUUGUAUUCUCAGUGGACCUGUCAUAUUUCAACCUUAAAAACUAUGGCUUUAUCAAGCUUCUCACCAGCUGCACCACCAGUCCUCAAUGGAGAGGGCUAUCACAUAUGGAUGGUUAAAAUGAAAACCUAUCUGCAGGCAUUCGAUUUGUGGGAGGUGGUCAACUUAGAUGUUGAACCAGCACCACUCAGAGCCAAUCCAAUAGUGGCUCAGAUCAGGCAACAUGCUGAUGAAAGGACCAAGAGGCAUAAAGUCAUGUCCUGCAUUCAAAACAGUGUGUCUGAUGUGAUCUUUACAAGGAUCAUGGCCGGUAAGACACCAAAACAGGCCUGAGAUAGAUUGAAGGAGGAGUUCCAAGGGACAGAUGGAACAAGACAGCAACAGCUACUGAAUUUGAGAAGGGAUUUUGAAAACUUGAAAAUGAAAAAGGAAGAAACAAUAAAGCAAUACUCAGACUGAAUCAUGGCUAUUGUAAACAACAUAAGGCUGCUUGGAGAAUAGUUCAAUGAAGCAAGAAUUGUGGAGAAAGUGAUCCCAACCUUGCCUGAAAGGUAUGAGGCAAAGAUAUCAUCCCUAGAAGACUCGAGGGACCUGACCAGCAUUUCUUUGGCAGAGUUGAUCAUGCUUUCUAUGCUCAAGAGCAAAGAAGAGCUAGCAGACUGGAGGAGCACCAAGAAGCUGCCUUCCAAACCAAAACCAAACCAGCCUCAAGCACCUCUACCUACAAAGGUAAAAAGACCUGGAGAGAUAAGCUUAAGCCAGAUGCUGUAAGAAGAAGGAAUCAAUCCUACAGGCAUUGCAAAAGGCCUAGUCAACCAGAGGCUAAUUGUUGGUUUAGACCAGAUGUGCAAUGCUAAUACUGCAAAAAGAUGGGUCAUGUUGAAAAUGUUUACAAAAGUAAAGGUAGACCAAGGCAGAAUCAACCACAACAACCAAAGGUUGAAGCUCGAAUAGCAGAACAGGGCAGUGACCAUGAGGAGCAAGUCUUUGUAGUUUCCUGCUCAGCUGCUAAAGAAAUUGCCACAAAAGGAUGGCUCAUGCACAGUGGUUGCACCAACCAUAUGACACCUGAUGCUGCCAUCUUCAAGUCAAUAGAUAGAAGCUUCAAAACCAAAGUGAAGGUGGGAAAUGGCCACUUCAUCAAGGCAGAAGGCAAGGGAGAUGUGCUGAUAAGCACUCCCACAAGUAACAAGCUAGUUUCUAAUAUUCUUUUGGUGCCUGAGAUCGAGAGAAACUUGCUCAGCAUAGCUCAGUUGCUUGAGAAGGGCUAUAUGUGGUGUUCAAGGGCAAUGAGUUUCAAAUUAAUGAUCCAAGUGGAUCCAAUCUCAUAACAGUAGUCAUGACUAAUAAAAGCUUUGCUGUGGACUAGAAUAAGGGCUUAAACAGUGCCUACAUAGUCUCAUCAGAUGAAUCCAAGUUUUGGCACCAAAAGCUUGGCCAUGUCAACUACAGAUCGAUGGCUCAGCUAGCUAGAGAAGAUCUGGUUGAAAACUUUCCCAAUUUAGUUGAAAAUGAAGAGGUUUUUGAAGUAUGCCAGUUUGGAAAGUAGGCCGGGCUGCCAUUUACUUCAAACAAUGCCUGGAGAGCCUAAAAAAGGUUGCAACUGGUGUACACUGAUGUGUGUGGCCCCAUGAAGACUCAGUCUCUAAAUGGAAAUAGGUAUUUCAUCUUAUUCAUUGAUGAUUACUCAAGGUAUUGUUGGAUCCACUUCAUCCAACAUAAGUAUAAAGUAGCCUCAGUUUUUUCAAAGUUCAAGGCUGCAGCAAAAAUAGAAUCAAGAUGCAAGUUAUAGACUCUGAGAUUUGAUAAUGGAAUUGAGUACACCUCAACUUAAUUUCAACGCUUUUAUGAUGAAGCAGGCAUCAAGCACCAGCUCACCAACACUUACACAACUCAACUGAAUGGUGUAAAUGAAAAGAAGAAUAGAAGCCUGAUGGAUAUGGCCAGAUGCUUGUUGUUUGAGAAGAAUUUGCCAAAAACCUUGUGGGCUGAGGCAGGUAACACUACUAUCUACAUCCAAAACAUGCUCCUAACCAAGGCUUUGGCUCAGAAGACUCCAUUCAAGACCUGGUUUGGGUUCAAGCCAUCAUUAGCUCAUCUAAGGGUCUUUAGAUGCAUAUGUUAUGUACAAGUUCCAGUUGUAAAAAGAAACAAGCUGAAUAAGAAAGCUCAAGCAGGUAUUCUGGUAGGUUACAACACAGUUAAGAAAGGCUAUAGGAUAUUGGAUCCUUCAAUAAACAAAGUGUUUGUAAGCAGAGAUGUGGUGUUCAAUGAAAAAACAAGUUGAAAUUGGAAAAAGAAUGAGCCAGAGGUAGUUUCUGAGGACUUUGUAGCAGAUCAGACUGAAACUGAUCAAAAUGGUCCUAAAAUGGACAUUGAUGAUGAACUAGUUAGGGGCAUUAGACAUUUGGCUGAGAUUUAUGAAAGAGCUCAAGUAGCUAUAGUAGAACUAAACUGCUUUGAAGAUGCUAAAGCUCAGCAAGGCUGGAAACAAGCCAUGGUUGAUGAAAUCAACAUGAUUGAGAAGAACCAGACUUGGGAAUUACUUCGGAAACCAGUCAACAGGAAGAUCAUUGGGGUAAAAUGGGUCUAUCAAGCCAAGCACAAUGCUGAUGGGAACUUGAACAAGCUUAAAGUUAAGCUAGUUGUGAAAGGGUUCAGCCAGAAGUAUGGCAUAGACUACCUGGAGACCUUUGCACCAGUGCGCAGGCUUGGCACCAUUAGGCUGCUAGUUGCCUUAGCAGCACAGAUGCAGUGGAAAAUUCACCAGCUUGAUAUAAAACUAGCCUUCCUCAAUAGAUUCCUUGAAGAAGAGAUUUAUGUUGAGCAACCUCAAGGCUUUGAAGUGGCUGAUAAAGAACACAUGGUGUAUAGGCUAAAGAAAGCCUUAUAUGGCUUGAAACAAGCACCAAGGGCCAGGUACAGUAGAAUUGAUGGCUACUUGGUCAAUUUGGGAUUUGAAAGGAGCAUUAGUGAGCCAACAUUGUAUAUUAAAAAGGAUGGAGUGCAAACUCAGCUCAUUGUGCCCUUGUAUGUUGAUGACCUGUUGGUGACAGGAGGAAACUAAGCAAUGUUAGCUGAUUUCAAAGCCAAAAUACAACAGAUGUUUGAGACAAAUGUCUUACUUCUUAGGCAUAGAAGUAACACAAACUUAGGAAUGAAUUUUUCUAAGUCAGAGGGCUUUUGCCAUAAAGAUCUUAAACAAAUUCUCAAUGCAGAAUUGUAAAGCAACAAGCACUCCAGUUGCUGUUGGGGAGAAGCUAUAUAGCCAAAGUGUUUUUGAGAAGGUAUGUGAGUCAACCUAGGUAUGUGAGUCAACCUAUAGGAGCCUAGUUGGUUGUUUGCUAUACUUGACUACCGCUAGGCCAGACAUAAUGUUUGCUAUGAGUUUGCUCUCAAGAUUUAUGCAUUGUUGCAAUACAAGUCACUUCAAAGUUGACAAGAGAGUUUUCAAGUACAUCAAAGGUACUCUGAGUUAUGGAAUAUUGUUUAGUAAAGCUAAAAGCUUGAAAUUGGUUGGCUAUACUGAUAGUGACUGGGCAGGCUCAAUGGAUGACAUAAAAAGUACUUCUGGGUACAUUUUUACACUUGGCUCAGCCAUUUUUAGCUGGGGUUCAAAGAAGCAAUAUGUUGUUGCUCAAUCAACAGCAGAGGUAGAAUAUGUGGCAGCUGUAGAAGCUGUCAACCAAGCCAUUUGGCUAAGGAAGAUCUUAGCUAAUCUGAAUCUUCACUAAAGGGAAACAACAGAAAUUAUGUGUGAUAAUCAAUCUACUGUUGUAAUUGCAAAGAAUCCAGUUUUUCAUAGAAGAACAAAUCACUUCAACAUUAAGUUUCAUAUUGUUAGAGAGAUAGAGUAAGCUCGAGAAGUGUUGCUAAUUCAAUGCAAUUCUGAAGACUAAGUUGCUGACAUCUUGACAAAACCCCUUAGUGUGUCAAGGUUCAUCAAACUAAGAGAACUAAUGGGACUCUACAGCAUGCAAGCCAAUGAGGAGUGUUGAAGUUGGCUUGCAUGCAGCACAUGCAACACAAGUUGUGCGGAUGAAGUACAUGCAGCUGGAAAGGAUCAAGCUGCUAUAUUAUUACCGGAUGAAGUAUGCAUGAAGGUGCUGAAGCACAUCACUGCUAUAGUAUUUCAUUUUGUUUUGUUACUUUAAACAUUGUUUUGUAAUUAGUUUGAUCUAAACUAAGUUGACAUUGUUUUUUUAUGUAAUUUGAUGUAAUUAGGUGCUGAUAGAUUGAUAAAUCAGUUUACCUAUGUGUACAAGUAGCGUUUUUUCAUAAGUUCCAAUGUUACUUGGUGGUAAUAGGUAAUGUUAGGUGACAAUUUGCUUUAUUUUGACCAGCUAAAUGUUUGGCAUAUGUAUUGGCUCUAAGCCUUCAUUCAAUGUUAAUGAAAUCACUUUGAGAAUUUCAUCCAAAUACUCUCUCAAUUCUUAGCAUUCAUUUUUGUUCCUUAAGCCCGAUUCUGUUCGUUUGCUCAAAAUCUCCUGACUUGAAUUUCAAGUUUUCUUCAUUCUUUAUUCGGAUUUAUUACAUUGUUGCUUAAGUUCCUGGCUGAGCUUCAUACUUUCUCCGGAUAAAUUAUUCAAAAACCCAACAUAGAAUUAAGUAGAGUUGCUCUUAUCUCAAAACAAGUUGAAUGAACACAUGGAACCUGGAUGUUAUUUUCAAUGCCAACCCUAUCACACUUUUAAUUCUCAAGCUAGAUUGAUGAGCUUUUAUGUUUAUUCCAUAGAGGCCAACAUAAACACUUGGAAGAAAAAAAUCCAAAUGAUUUUGGUUUAGUUGGAACUUUAAAGUGCAGAGCUGGUUUCAUGGUAAAGCCAUUUGACUUGAUUGUUAUAUCAGUUUGGGCUAAAACUUGAAUCAAUUUUCCCCUUUCGUAAUUAAAAUUCCAAAAUUUUAUUCUGCUUUGGAAUUGUAAGGAUGCAACAUCGGAAUUGCUUUGUACAUUCGCUUUUUAUGAGAUGGUAUCCAAUAAGUUCAAGAUUUGUAGCUUAGUAAUUAAAAUAACUUUCUGUAACACUAAAUUAUGAUCUACUAUAAGAAAAAACACAAAUUUUAUACUAAUCUGAUUAUUUUAUAACGCCAUGUGACUUACAUUUAUAGUAAUUAAAAAGAUUCUGCUUUGGAGUUCAAAAAAUAUCCACGCGAAGCCGUGGUGGGUAUCAUAGUUCAGAUAUGGAGCUUCGUACUUAAAUUCUUUUAAGCAGUUGACUUGUUAUUGGCUGGUUUUAAUUCAUAGGAUCAGUGGUGGACUUCAUUCAGCUUCAUUGUUUAGUUUCCAGCCUUGGUUCUUAUGCUGUAGGGAGUAAGUGGAGCUUUAUUGUUUAGUUUCCAGCAUUGGUCUUAAUACUCACUGCAUUUGCUUACUUAUGUCAUUGGUAUUUGUUGUGCUUUUUACUUGCAAGUUUAAUGCAACGCAUAUGCUAACCAAAACAGAGUGUCAAUAAAGAAUUGAUGGUAGAUCUUUGGACAUGCCAUUAUGUUUGGAGUUUUACCUACAAUAGAAAAAGGAGGAGCAAGUAAGCUUUUCAAGAGCUUCAAUUUCUUCCAAUGAAUGCUUGCUUUAUGUUUGUGCAUGAACUGAGAUAUUGAGGAAGUACUGCAACUUGUCAACAGAUUUGCCUUCUUGAUCUUAUUCAACAUUGAGCCAAUGCAAAUUGAAGCUAUUUCCUAAGCUCUUUCUGAUUUUUGAGCCUUCAGAGGAACCAUAUGCGCUUCGAAAAUUUAGCCUUCCUUGAGAGGUAAUUUACCUUUGUUUCAUUGUGAUGUUUUUAGCAUUCUCAUGAACUCUUUCCCCUAAUUUAUCAAUUGGUUUAUAUGAAUUCAGAAUUUGCCAAAGUUGCUGUUAUCUCAAAACUCGUGGGAUGAUGGAGCUGGAGAUUAUUUUUAGUGGCACCCCUUUCACAGUUUUCAAUCUCAAAGCUAGAUUGUUGAGCUUCGAAGUUUUACCCCGCAGAGGAAACCAACAAGACACUAGAAUAUUGGCAUUCGCAAUCAACUCAGUCUCUAAGAAAUAACUAUUCCAUCACCUUAUUUUCUUUGUAUAAUUAUAUAUUUAAUUUAAUUGAUUUUGUGGAUGAUAAAUACUAUUUUUAAUGUCAAUUUUUUUAGUAUUAUUUUAAUUAUAUUUGUUGUUAUCUUUUAGUGACUAAUCAUAGUCCUUGUAGUAGAUUUUGGAUAUAUCUAUUGGAUAAGAAUCAUAAUAUAGACAAAUAUAGUUGCUGCUUAGGAUUUAAGUUUAGAUAACAUUUUCUACAAUAAAUAGGUGUAAAAAGAAGGUGAUAAAUUAUUGGACCAGGUCAUGGGAGUGGAUUUUCUGUUUAAAUUCGAAGUGUCACUCAAAAUUUAAGAGUAUUUGAGAAAAAAAUAUUAGACUCAAAAUAUAAGCUUAGGAAAAUUUAGAUCCAUUAAAAUAUGAGCUCAGGUUUGAACGUUAAAGGUUUGAGCUUAGCCCGACCCGACUCAUUUUUUAAGUUUGUAAUGGUUUAUAUUAUGUUAUGUAACUUAUGAUAUAUAAAACUUAAAACUACUAUAAUAUAAACAUUAAAAAAAUGUUAACAUGACUAUAUAUAAAAUUUUAAUAAAUAAAAAUAUAAUUAUUAAAUAUCAAACUAAUAUAAUAUAAAAAUUUUAUUGAAAAUUUCAAAAAAAAAAAGGGCAGGCUUAAAAUGAGCUUAGAUUAGUCAUUUAUAAAUAUGGAUGGACUUGGGUAAUCAUAAAGUGCAUUAAUAUUAUUCUUAGGUCUAACUCAAAUUUAGCUCGGCUCAUGAACACUUUAAUGAAUAGUGGUGAUGUUGAAGCUAACGAAGGGGGUGGAAAAUUUCGAUGGAAACAACGAAGAAGAUGAGAAACCCAAAUAACUCCUGGGCUAGGUGUAAAAAGUUAUAAAAUAAUUAAAUAUAUUAAAUAAUUUUGUAGUUAUAGAGGUUUAAAUUCAUUGGAUAAUUUAAAAUUAAAAUCAAAUUAAUAAAAUGUGUAAUCGCUGAAGACUAAAAGUGUUAUUGGACCAACUACAAAUAGGUUACAACAUCAUUUUCAUUAAUAAUAUAACGGAGGACGACCAAGUCAUCAUUUCCAUUAACAAUUUAACGAAAGGGUAACCAAAACAAAAACAUGUUAAAGGUUAAGUAACUAAUUGAGUAAUUUACCUUAUAUUCAUUGAAAAAAUAUUUAUUUAUGGCUUAAUUAAAUAGGAGGCCUUAAAUUAUGCCUAUUAUUUUAGAUACUUAUUUUUUUAAUCGAACCACAUAUUCCAUAACCGAAGUUAGCCCUGUGGUUACCUCCAUAAAAAAGAAAUCGUCCCAGCCAAUAAAAAACACCAAAUCUCAAUCCCACAAAAAUAUGAUUAAAAAAUAAUUGAUACUAGUAUUAAAUAAAAAUAACUAAAAGGGUACCCCUCUCCCUAUAUAUUAAAAUUUUAUCUACACUUCUAUUUAAUUAGGCCUUUUUGGUCUGUAUUAUUUUUUCAUUUCCAUUUUAGUUUGUUUUUUUCUCCUUCAUUGUACUACUUUUAAAAUGUUAUUGAUAUUAGUGAUAUUAAUUCAAUUUUUUCGUAUGGAACUUUUAAUAAUAUAAUAUAAUUUAAAUAUAAAAGAAUUAAUUAAUAUUUUAAUUAAUUGACUUGUUGUUACUUAAUUUAUGAUGCCAAACUUAUUAGUUAACCAAUUGAGUUGGUAUCACUUCACUUAUGACAUCAAACUCAGUGUAAUUUUUAGCAUACUAAUCUAAUGAGUGAAUUUAGAAUUUGCCAAAGUUACUCUUACCUCAAAACUUGUGGGAUGAACACAUGGAACCGGAGAAUGUUUUUCACUGGCAACCUCUUGACAGUUUUUUUUCUCAAGCUAGAUUGAAACUCAAUAAACACUGGAAAAAGAAUUGUAAAAAAUCCAAAUGAUUUGGGUUUAGUUCGAGUUGCUUUCAUUGAAAUGGCUUUCAUGAAUCUUAUGUGGUUUUAGGUCGAGUUUGAGUCAUAUUAAUUGGUGGCGAAAUAAAUUUCGAAUUGUUUCUAGUGGGAAUGAAUUGGACAAGGGUUAAACAAGGGUGUGGUUGUUUCUCUUUAUAUAUGGAAGUUGAACAUGCUAUUCUAUUUUCUUAAUGUGUAAAUGCGUAAAUGCGUAAAUGUUAAUGUUAAAUUUGUUGAUUUUUUAGAAUCAAGAUUAAAUUGAUAAAAAUGCAAACAUUGAGGGCUAAAUUUAUUAUUAUACCAAUCAAAAUUAUGUGAAUUUGAUAGAAGACAUUAACGAUGUAGUUAAAUGUACUUAGCUGCUCACUUUCACAAUUAACAAAGAUUAAAUUUUUCCUCUUUUAAAGGGACCAAUUUAUUCAAUUUUGAAAUUAAGAAAGACUAAAGAAGUCGUUUUACCCAAACUUGCCUUCCCUAUGUUAGAAAGGACUAACAAAGAAAAUCUAUCAUUAUUUCACCUAGGAAAAUAGAAACACAACACCCUUCCUUCCAAAGACUUUUCAUUCAGGGGAAGAAAGCGGAAAUUAUCCGUCAAGAAAGUGGUAGGAAAUUUAAGUUUAAUUCACUUAAAAUGGUCUAAAAGUGGCAAUUAUUCUUAAGAAAGCUAUACAAAAUUUCAGUUCAAUUGACCCAAAUGACAAAGUGUGUUCCAGUCAUUAUUUUUAUUAGGAAAUUCAUAAGAAAUUUCAUCACAACCCAAAAAGAAAUUCAUAAAUGAAGACAAUUUUUUUUGAAGUUGUACGUUUGGUUACAAAAUCAACUAAUAUCUAUUUUUGAAUAGAUGAUUUAUUCAUACUAACAUAUUAAAUAGGCCCUUAAGCUUUAUCACAUUAUCUAAAUAAUCUCGUGUACUUUUAUCAUACCCCAAAUAAGCCUUUAAACUUUAUUUGUUAUCCAAAAAACUUUUAAUUUUUAACUUGUAUCUAGAAAAGUUUUAAUCUUAACAAAUUUGUCCCAUUGGAAGACCUUGACUUGGAAAUUAACACCCAUCAUCAUCAUUUGGAACAAUUUUUCUUGUUCGUCAAAACUCCCUUUUAAUACUCUUCAUCAAAGUCCACAUCACCAGAAAACUAAUACAUAGACUUAAGGCUUAGAAUAUGGUUGUUUAUAUAAACUCAAAAUCUUUUUCAUUUUGUUUUUCUAAAUAAUGUGAGAUAUGGGCUUUUAUAUAAAUUCUUAAUCUCUUUGUGCCUUGUUCUUAAGCAAUAUGAGAUUUAUUACCCUUUUAACUAACAAAAGAUUUAAGUUAAACUUAGUUUUUAAAGACUAAAGAUAAUAGUUAAACUUUGCACAACAAUAAACACGAUUAAAAUAUAUUUUUUAAUAUUUUAAAUGGUAAUUAUAAGUUGAUGUUGAAACUCAACACUCCCCUCAUCACCAACUUUUAUUUAAAUUAACAUAUCAUUUGAAAUAAGGGCUAAUUUAAACACAAAUAAAAAUAUAGGGUUUUAUUUGGGUAUCACAAAAGUAAACUAGUUCAAGGACUCUUUUAAGAAUUUAACCAUUUGCUGAACAUUGUCCCAUUGGAAGACCUUGACUUUUGUAGGGAAAAGAUACAAAUAAAGAAGACUGUCAUUUCCUGGAAAGUGUGAGAGUGACAAUUUUCUUGACUAGAUAAUUAGCUAAUCUCCUCUCCAGUCGUCGCCUUUGUUAAAUCUCAUUGUCAUUUACUACUAGGAUACCAAAGCUCCCUUUGUGUAUUUUCCUCUCUUCUUCCUCAAUCUCACCAUCCAUACACUUUCAUGGCAUCUUCAUCAUCUUCUUCUAUUCAACUGAUGCAUUAACUUUUCUUAACCUUCAGAGGUGAAGACUCAUGCCUUAACUCAAAAUUUUAUUUACUCCUAAGUUCUAGCACGAUAAAAUUAUCAUGACUUUGAUAAAAUUAGAGUUUAAUUGAGAAAAUAAUUUAAUUAAAUGAAUGAAUUAAAUUUAUUUUAAUUAAUUAUAUAAAUAAUAUUUUUACAAUGUAAACUUGAUAUUGGGUUGGAUAAAUUAAAUGAAUUGAUUUAAAGUUCAUAUAGACUUGAUCAGGCCCACUUUCUAAGCCCGACCUAAUCUACCCAUAUUAAUUUCUUUAGACUAUUUUUAUUUAAAGAUAAAUUUUAAAAAUAUAAUACAUCAAAUACAUUAAAAAUAUUAAAAUAAAUAUUUCUCAACAAAUUGAAAAUAAAUUUUUUUAAAAUAAAUAUUUAUACUUAAAUAACACUAAUACAGUUGCAAUUUAACAAUCAAAUGUUUUUAAAAUAGUAGCAAAAUUAACAAUAAAACAAAAAAUUUAAUAUCUAAACAAUAACAAUAAAAUAGUAGCAAUACAAUAAUAAAAUUGUAAUAAAAAUAAUAUAAGAGCAGUUAAUAACAACAAAAAAGAAAUAGUCAAAUUCGGACUAUUGGUAUGUUGAAUAAUAUUUUACUCAACAUUUACGUUCUAACACAUAAACUAUUAAUUUCCAACUUUUAAAUUAAUUGCCAAUGAUAGAAAUAUGAAGGUGUUUAAUUAAUUAAAACCAACCAGAAUCACAUGCUCUAUAAAUAGCUUGUGAUUUAGAAUUUUCAUUCAUUGGUGCAUUAUCAACUUACUUUUUUCCUUAUGCAUUUUACAAGCUAUAUGUAUGGUUGUGAUGUGCAAAUUUUGUGGAACUUCCAUGAAAAUUCAGCCCAGGAGUGGUCUGAUUUGAUUUAUCCAAAUUCCUACAUAUGUAGCUUCGAGGAAAGAAAGAAGGUUGGAUGGCAUUUUGAAGUGCUGUAAGAUUUAUUAGUCAUUUUGAAAUUGGUGUCAAAAGCAAAAGCAACCUUUUUUUCUUUUUCUUUUCUCAGCCAAUAAAAUUAUUUUAUUAAAAGGUUUAAUGUAUCGUCCUUAUCACCUCACAAAAAAAGUGAGUUGAAGGGGGUGAAUUUCCAUAUGCUUUGGUGCAUUAUCAACUUUUACUUUUCCUUAUGCAUUUUGUAACAAUAUGUAUGACUGUAAUAUGCAGAUUUUCUUUGUAAAUUCAGCGAAAUUCCUAAUUAUGUAGCUUCCUGGAAAAACAAAAGAAAAAGGAGAAGAUUCUUGACAUCUUUGUAGCAUACUACUAUUUGUUUUUUUGCAAUCAAUGAAUCAAUACUUUGGGGGUGUGGGAAUCAAAUCGCACAAUUAAUCUGUUCUUUCACAGACUAGGCAAGGAAAAGAGUUCCAUUGAUAGUAGUAUCACUAUGCAACCAAAAAAAAAAUGCAAAUUGAUAGUAGAUUUAAAAUGAAAGUUUUGAAGUGAUCUUAAAUAAAAAGGAUUUGGUGACUACUCAAGUCGAUUUAAAAAAACGUUCAGGUAGAAAUAAACUCAAAUUUAAUAUUUUUUAUCUAAGCCGAGUUUUGACAAAAAAUUUAAGUUCAUGGUUCAUACUGGACAAACCUAAAAGAUAAUUCUAAAAUUUUAUAUUGAACCCACGCGGUAAAUCUCACAAUUAAAAUUCAAUCAAAAUAACAUUGGUGAAUCAAAGGAGACAAAUGGGAUUGAGAUGAACAUUGUUUUGGUUAUUCUCUUUGGUACAAAGAUAGCUACACUCUAUGAAUAAGAAACCAGUUUAGACAGAAUCUACAUAGAUAAAGGGAUAACCAGCACCCAGAGACAAUACAAUACGUAAAACCCCGUGUAAGCAAGCUGAAGGAUAAACCGUAUGCUACAACUACAAUGGUCGUUCCUGUCCAGAAUUCAUCACAUAGGAAAAGGCAUAACCAAACUCCCUGAAUUAUACUUUGUAAAACUAAACUAAAACUACCAAAAUAUUGCAACACAAAAGAACGGAAAAACCAACAUCCCAGAAUUGCAACACUAAGUUUCGACACUCGAGAAGUGGAAACCAUGAGCACCGUUAAAAAAAAAACCAAAAUCGAAAAAGAAAUCAUAACUCUAGUUGUGGACUCUGUUGGCGCUAUGUAAACUAUUGAUUGGUCGAAGCAUAUUGCGAAGAAAGCAAGUAAGACUUGAAGUGCUGUUCUGAAACAAUGGGGAUAAGGUUUAAGCAAGGCUAAUGUUAAGAAAAAGGUUACGAUGAAGACAAGAUAAGUUGGAAUAUAGAAAACAAAAAAAAGUAAAUUCAUCUAAGAUUGAUUUACCCAAUGCCAUCUCAUCAUAUGACCCUUUGGACUUUGAAGUGUUAUCUCCCUGCCAAACACCACCAGGUGGGCUAAGACUAGCUUGGAAGGUUGCAGUUAGAAGCAACCCUAAAAUUACUAGUAAGGCAUUGCGGUCCUCGCCUGACAUAUUAUCUAUCUCGUGAGGCAUUAGAUAUGAUAUUUUUAUCAUUUGGUUCUUGUACUUACGUAUAAAGUUUGAAACUCCUGGAAUAAAGCAACGACGUAGAACAGUAAUACUGUCUUCAUUAUGAUGUUGGUCUGCAAUAUCCAAUGCUGUCAAACCAGCUUGAUUGGUAGCGUACUCAUCGGUGUUCCAGUUCAAUAAUAGUUUAAGCAUCUGUUUAAUUGAUAGUUUGAGAAAUAAAAGAACUACAAUCUAUGUCUAUAAAGAUUAAAAAGAAGCCGUACUGAACUAGAUGAGUCAAACCUCAGGUCGAUCAUGAAAAGCAGCUAAGUGCAGUGCAGUGUUUCCGCCUUCAUCUUUUUGGUUCACCACUUCACUAUAGUAGCCUGUCUUCUCAAGUGUUCGAAUUAGGACUUGAAGAACAUCCAGUCCGUUUUCUUCCACGGCAAUAUGCAAAGCAUUACGAUUCUCAAUUGUCACGUCUCUAAUCGAUUGAGGACAAAUCUCUGGAAAUCUAUCCAACAGACCAUUAUGGUUCCCAACUUCAGUUAUGAUGUGCAAAGGUGUCUUGCCAUUCUUUCCUUUGACACGAGCUAGAUCUUUAUUAAUUUCCAAGAAACGUAGAGCCAUACUUGUAUCCGGAUUUGUAACUGCAAGGUGAAGUGGAGUCAAGCCUUGUUUGUUUAGCUUGCUAGCAAAUGAUGGCUUUAAGCUCAUCAUUUCCAUUGCAAGCCUAAGGCAUCCUUCUUCUGCAGCAAUGUGUAAGGGCCGAGUUUCGACAAACUCCUCCUCGUCAAAUUGCUUCAAAGCAUUUCCAUCUAUUUCAAUUAAACUGUAUAGAUCACUAACAUUUCCUGUACAAGCUGCUGUUCUCAACCUUUCAUCCAUGACAGAAGAAGAAUGGAAAGAGCUUAAGCCCACUUAGAGUGUUAACUAGAAUGAGUGAGGACUUACGGUUUUAAAGAUCGUUGCUGCUUUGUCUAUAGAGAAAGCAGAAAAAAUGAAUCUUUCAACUCCGCGUGCUUAUUUUUUAAAAGAAAGUUGCAUUUGAAUAAUUUUAAAUUAAUUUUAAAAAUAAUAAUUUAAUUAUAUAAUAAAAAAAUAUUUUUAAUAGAGCUGCAAUGGUUGUUGAUGGAAUGCUUUUUUGUGCCGUAAUUAACUUAAUCUCAAAAUUCGAAAUAAUGAAACUCGAAAUCAAAUAAAUUUGAAAUAAUUCAAAUUUAAAUUGGAAUCAAUUCAAAAUUAAUCUUAUUCAAAUGAAACUAAUUAAGGAUCAAUCACAACUCUCUAAAUCUAUUAAUCUAAUUUAAUUACUAUUUCUAAUAUAUAUUGAAAGUGUUAUAAGUAAAGUAUAAUUAAAAUAUAAAUAUAUAUAUUUAAGUAAUCAUAAAUAUUAAAUUAUUACGGUAUAAAUGAAUUGUCUGAAAAAUCACCAAAUAGAAUUAAAUUAUUACAAUACAAAUAGAUUAAGAGCUUAUACUAAAGUUAACUAACUUAAUUAAUUGGAAAAAAAAUUACAUACAAUAAAUAUACAUUAUUACACAUAGUAAAUCUCGAACUUAGUCUACCUUUCUAGUGCCAAAUCCUAUUAACAUUACUACCUAUAAAAAUCUCGAACUUAGUCUUCUAGUGCCAAAGCCUUUUAACAUUACUACCUAUACAUUUUUUUAAUGCUCAUGAAAACAUAUAUCUCCUAUGCAAUUGUCUUUUUUUUUUAAUUAUCCUAUCAUUAUUUAUUUUAUAAAGUUGAAGCUUACUGACACUAUUAUAUAGGUGUAUUUGUGGAUCGAAAUUUGAAAUUAAAUAUAAAUGGACUCACUUCAAUUAAUGAAUCUGUCGCUUGAGUUCAUCCCAUUAACUUUUUGGUUGGUAAAAAGUAUAUCAAUAAUAUAAGAUAUUAUUAUAAUGAGAUAACAUAAGAUUCUUCAAGAAAGUGGUAUGAAAUUUAAAUUUAAUUUACUUAAAAUUGUCUAAAAGUGGCAAUUAUUCUUAAAAAAGUUAUACGAAAUUUCAGUUCAAUUGACCCAAAUGACAAAAUGUGUUCAAGUUAUUAUUUUUGUUAGGAAAUUCAUAAGAAAUUUUAUAACAACCCAAAAAGGAAUUCAUGAAUUGUGACAAUUUUUUUUGAAGUUAUACAUUUGGUAACGAAAUCAACUAAUAUCUAUUUUCAUAUAGAUGAUUUACUCAUACUAAUAUAUUAAAUAGGCCCUUAAGCUUUAUCAAAGUACCUAAAUAAUCUCAUGUACUUUUAUCAUACCCCAAAUAAGCCUUUAAACUUUACUUGUUAUCCAAAUAACUUUGAAUUUUUAACAUGCAUCUAGAAAAGUUUUAAUCUUAACAAUUUUGUCCCAUUGGAAGACCUUGACUUGGAAAUUAACACCCAUCAUCAUCAUCAUCAUUUGGAACAAUUUUUCUUGUUAGUCAAAACUCCCUUUUAAUACUCUUUCAUGCCUUCUUCUUCAUCAAAGUCCACAUCACCAGAAGGCUAAUAUAUAGACUUAAGGCUUAGAAUAUGGUUCUUUAUCUAAACUCAAAUUUUUUUUUGCCUUUGUUUUUCUAAAUAAUGUAAAAUAUGGUCUUUUCUAUAGAUUUAUAAUCCUUUUGUGUUUUGUUUUUAGAUUUAUUAUCCUUUUAACUAAAAAAAUAUUUAAGUUAAACUUGGUUUUUAAAAACUAAAUAUAAUAGCUAAACUUUGUAUAACAAUAAACACAAAUAAAAUAUAUUUUUCAAUAUAUUAAAUGGUGAUUAUAAGUUGAUGUUGAAAUUCAAGGCUCUCCUCAUCACCAACUUUUUUUCUAAAUUAACAUGUCAUUUGAAAUAAGGGCUAAUUUAAACACAAAUAAAAAUAUACGGGUUCAUUUGGGUACCAUAAAAGUAAACUAGUUCAAGGACUCUUUUAAGAAUUUAACCAUUUGCUGAACAUUGUCCCAUUGGAAGACCUCGACUUUUGUGGGUAAAAGAUACAAAGAAAGAAGACUGUCGUUUCCUAAAAAGUGUGCGAGUGACAAUUUUCUUGACUCAGAUAAUUAGCUAAUCCCCUCCGGUCGUUGCCUUUGUUAAAUCUCAUUUUCAUUUAAUACUAGGAUGCCAAAGCUCCCUUUGUGUAUUUUCCUCUCUUCUUCCUCAAUCUCACAAUCCAUACACUUUCAUGGCAUCUUCUUCAUCAUCUUCUCGUUAAAUGAUACAUUAAGUUUUCUUAACCUUCAAAGGUGAAGACACAGGCCUUAACUCAAUAUUUAAAACUCAAAUUGACUUAAUCAAUCCAAAUUAUUAAUUAAAAUUAACCCAACAUGCCUGGUUCAUAGGUUUAGUUAAGGGGUAAUAGGUCAAGGACAAGGCUAUAUGCAUGAAGUUACGACAGAUGGGUGUGGAAAAGUUGGGGUCCUAUUUGCCAUUAUGUUAGUUAUGUGAGUGCCGAAUUUGAAUAUGUUCAAUUUUUAUUAAUAAUUUUCAUUUAUUUGUAUCGUUGGAUGGACAAGAUCAAAAUAGAUGCUAUUAAUGGUAUAAGCUUGAUUAAGUCUUCUUUAGUUUUAGUCUAUUAAUUUUUUUCUCUCUCUAAAAUUUGAAUUUUUUUAUUUUUUAAAUAAUUUUUUUCUCAUUUUGUUAUUUAAAUUAAUAUUUAAUUUAUCUUAAAUCGUUUCUACUAGUCUAAAUAGAAUUGUCAAUGAAAAAUGUGUAUCUUUCUUCCCAUCCUUUUCAAAACCUUACAUAACAUAUAAAGUCAGAAUAUCUCUAAAUGAAGAGUCGGAACUUAAGUACAAAUUAUUUUAGUCUUAAUUAUAUAUGUUCAAUUAAUCAUUUUGCUAGCUCAACACAAUCAUUUACGGAUUUCAUUUGAACCGAAACAGAUUUCAUUUGAACCGAAAUGAAAAAAGAGAAAAAGAAAUAGAUUGCAUGUAUCACUAUCUACAAUGAAUGUGUUUUUUCGCUAAGAACAAGAAAUGACUUAUAUUAACUUAUUUCUUUAAAUUAUUAUUUAAUUAAUUAUAAUUAAAUAAUUAAAGUUUGAAGGGAAAAUUAAAUUAAUUAAUCAUUGUGGUUUUAAGGAAUGAGACAAUUAAAUUUAUUUACUCAUAGGUUCUAGUACGAUAAAGUUAUAAUGACUUUAACAAAAUUAAAAUUUAGUUGAGAAAAUAAUUUUAAUUGAAGGAAUUAGUUAAAUUUAUUUUAAUUAAUUAUAAACAUAAUAUUUUUACAAUGAAACUUGAUAUUGGGUUGAAUAAAUUAUAUGAAUUAAUUUAAAGUUCAUAUAGACCUGAUCAAUGGUCGAGUCAAUGCAAUUUUUUAAGCUUGUUUUCUAGGCUCGACCCGACCUUCCUGUAUUAUUUUUUUAGAUUAUUUUUCAUAAAAAGAUAAAUUUAAAAAAUAUAAUAUAUCAAAUAUACUAAAAAUAUUAAAAUAAGUGUUUCCCAACAAAUUGAGAAUAUAUUUAAAAAAUUUAUACUUAAAUAACACUAACACAUUGCAACAUAGCAAAAAAAAACCUUCUAAAAUAGUAAUAAAAUUAACAACAAAACAAGAAAUACAAUAUCCAAACAAUAACAGUAAAAUAAUAACAAUAUAAUAAUAAAAUAGUAACAAAACAACAACAUAACAAUAUUAAACAACAACAGAAAUUUUUUUCCCCAAAAUAUUUAAACUAAGUUUAAAUUUUAAAAUUGAAAUUAUAAAAAAAAAUUACUUAAAUUAUAUCCCGAAUAAAAACUAGGCUCAAACCAUAAAAUCAAACAUAGCAAGUAAAAGAAAUCACGGGUGCGGUACGGUUCCUAAGGUACACGCAUUGACAGUUUUGGUCUGUAAAAGAUUUAAAGAACAUUGAUUAUCCCAUGUGCUGUGACCAGUGAUGUAAUUUGGUUUCUUUUGCCUCAAUCUCACAACCCAUACUCUUUCAUGCUUGCUUGCUUGCUUCUUCUUUUUUUCUCAAAAAAUGGGUCAUCAAAUAAAUACUAAUAUUAAAUAUUUUAAUUAGGUUGGUGUAUAAGUUAUUUAAAUGUUAAUUUAAUAAAAAAAUAGUUAAAAACUUAAGAGUGUAAAAGUUGGAAUCAUAUCCAAUUUUCAUGCUGUCUUAAUGUAGAACAAGCAACAAAUGAUACCCAGCAAGUAUCUAAACAAUUUUCUCAUACAGAAGUCACAGUCAAGGCUUACUAAAUAUCACACAAGGGCUGAAAUAUACUAUAAAAGUCUGUUUUAGGCUUGCAUCUACAAUUUUUAAAUUGAUCUCAUAUUAUAAAAAAAUAAAGUGUUUAAAUAAAAACAAAUCAAAUUCCAUGUGAUUGUUUGAUGAUUAAAAGUGUUUACCGCUCUAAAUGUGAUCUGAAUUUGAGUCGUUUUAAUCACGUUUAUUGAUUUGAGUUGUUUUACUCUGUUAUUUUAAUUCAUCAAAAUAAUAAUAAUAAUAAUAAUAAAUCAAGAUGAUAGGUGUUUAAUGCAUCUUCUAUAUCACUCCAAAAAAAAAAGUUAUGAGUCACAUAUGGAGGGGUGACUUUUCAUACUUUGGUGCAUUAUGAGCUUACAGCUAGACGACUGUAACCUGCAGAUUUUCCAAUGGAAAUUUAGCCAAGAGGAUGACUCUGACAGCUUUGUAGCAUGGUUUUGAUUUGUUUUUUUUUUUUUUUUUUUGCAAUCAAUGAAUAAAGAUAAGGAAAAGUACAGUAAAGUCAAUAUGAUGUGAACUUAACUUUGGGGGUGUGGGAUCAAAUAGUAUAAUUAUUCAAUACCUAAAUACUUGUUUUAUAGACUAGGCAUGAAAAAGAGUUUUGUUGAGUAAUAUUCUCUCAUGUUGUAUUAAGAAAAAUAUGGGGGUAUUUGUACAUAUUCUUAUUGUUACUAUUACAACUCACAAUAGGGCCAAUUGUUUUGUCUUGAUCUUUGGGCCGAGAGUGCUAACAUUCUCUGUCCCUAGUGCUGACAUUCUCUAGGCCUCCUUUAGCUUAUUGGACCCUUGCUUGCAAAGCAUGCGGUCCUUUCUGACCCUAGGACUAACUCUCCCAACGAACCUCGCACCUACCAGUCAUGAGCGAAGGUUAUCUUCGCAGAUACGGCUUGCGACCUCGUCCCUACGAGGUUUACUCGAGCUCUCUUCUUGCGACCUCAUUCCUACGAAGCUUACGCGAGCUCUCCUUAUGGUUUCCCGCGUGAGCUAUCUUCGCAAACAUCUUGUACCCCCGCGAGGUCCUCAGAUGACUAUACCUAAUUUUUUUAGGGUCGAGUUCAUCUGGUUCGGAGGUCCAGAUCUUAUCGGCCACUUGGACUAUUGGUUUCCAAAUCCUAACAAUCUAGUCCCCCUUGGUGCACCUAAGGGACGUUAUAAAGUGGUUGGCCUUAGGUCCAUUUCAGACGUAGCUUGCUAGGUACGCCGUGGGGCCAUAGUGUAUGAUAGUUAUCUUACCAUGUGCAAAUCCAUGCAUUGGGGCGUGCAUCCGAAUGUUGAGAUACGAAUGAUUUUUUUGUGCUCGCAUAUGAACCGUUGGUUUAUUUUUGGUUACCCAAACGGUUUCAGGGGUCUCCCUUUAAAAAGGGAUGGCCAACGUUUUAGGUUUCUCCAUUGUUUGGCUUUUUUGUAUAUCGAAAUCGAGGUAAAUCUCAUGAAUUUCUCUGUUUCUUAACUCUGAUAUAUGUUUUCUUUCUUCUUUUGUUCAAAAUAUGGUAAGAAUGAGAUGAGCUCACAACCAGAUUGUAUUGGCUUGUUCGAUUCUAAUCAUCGUGACUGAAAAACCUAUGCCUACACCACAACACCAGAGGAGAUAAAACGGGCUCUGACCGUGCGGGGAAUUUAGCUUCCUUACUUCGCUUAUGACUUUUCCAUUCCCUCGAGGUCACACCACGUAUGUAAGGCGACGGAGGACGGUUUUUUCUUUCGUUGCAAGUUUUGGAAGUGCACUUUCACCUUCUUUUACACCCUUUCUUUUGCAGUCUCCUCAAUGACUAUAGGUUCUUUCCUGGCCAACUUUUCUGUUUCUCUUGGUGGCUCGAUAUGGCGUAUUUCUUUGACUGAUACUAGCAUGAUGAGGUUCCUACUUUCCCUAUCUUCCAACAUCUGUAUCAGCUGAAGGUGACUGACUUGGAGGAGUCCGCGGGGUUCUACUAUUUUUCCCUUUUCAGAAGGUGCAAACAAUUAUCAAAAACUAAUGUAAGAAUUUUCUCCUAAAACAGGGGAAAUACAUCUAAUUUCACAGUCUACUUGGUGAGGGCUUUGGGUUUUCCAUUAGAUGGUCUUCCCCUAGCAAGGAUAUAUACGUUUUUCAAAGGAGCCUCACCACUGAUGAGGCUAUCGUGCAAUAUUAGAGAUUGCGCGUUGGUCGCAUGCUAGCCUUGAAGAAGGUUCUAACUACUAAGAAUGUCUUCAGAUUCUAUCUGGAAAAUCUUAGUCCGAAUAGCUAGAGGGCUGGUAAUAACAAAGACAUCGUGCAAUUGGUUGGUUGGCGAUCAGCGAGGGAACUUAGACCUAUGAUUCUUACGACCAAUUGGGGAUAAUAUUGAUGGGGUACUUGAGGGAGCCUGUGAACUUCUUCUACCAUUAUUGCGGGAUAAUGUUUCGUUCCUUUGCCCUCUUAAAAUUUAAGCGAAAUAAGAGGGUCAGAGGAGGUACUAACUUGUUACUUACUUCUACUAAUAUUAGGGUUCUUGGUGGUACAGGAGGCAAUCAAAGCAACAAAUGUAAUUCACAUGAUAGUGACAGCAUCUCACGCGAGCUUAACAUAGCUAUGGACAUCGAUGCUUUAAUAAGUAGUGGCCGCAAGAAGCGCAGGACUUCGACUGGGGCCCUGCGUGUCAAUCCCUCUAGCGAGUAGGAAGGGAGUGGUCCUCAACUAGGGCACUGUCAGAAGAUAAGGGCAAUAGUGGAGACCUUGCUGUUACAGUCACCUCCAUCCAUUCUUCCCCUCUAGUAAACUUGACAACCGUUGCCUAGGUGAGCUCGCCUAUCACCAUCACCGAGGACACUCCCCCUCCCUUGCUUUUGAAGACUCUCCAAUGGCUCCCACAAUUGAAAAAAUAUCCAUUGAAGCUGUGAAGGACUUUCCUUCAUUUUUACACUGUCUAUUAUUUGAGGUUGGCACUCUCGGCCUAAGGUAUGCGGAGGCCCGUGAUAAGGAGCUCACUGAUACUCAGACUGAGUUAGAAAGGGUAAACGAGCUGUACAACAAGGUAAUAGAAGAAAAUAAAAUAAUAAAUGAGUAAUAGGGAGUCCUCACCAAGCGCUUGGUGAUGAUAGAGACGAUAGUGGAGGAGUGUGGAGCUAGCUCAUUGUUGAAAAAGAGAGACACAUAUUCGCAGAAGUGGAGCUGAAGGUUAUUGUGAGGCACUUCAUCGAAAUAGAAAGGAUCAUUAAAGAGUGUAAAGAACAGUUGGAUACUACCCUCCUAAAACAAGGGGAGGUGUUGGCAGCUUCCAAGCAGCAAACUUCUCAGAACAUCUUGAGCUCCCUUCAAAGGUUCAAGGAGAAUCUGCUCCUACAUACCCAGGUCCUCUGUGGCCCCUUUGAUGUCCGUAAGGUGGAUUUUGACACGUUUACGAACAUGGAUGUUAACAACCUGGGCUUCGAUACCUUUAACCCUUCUAGGCUUGCUUGGGAUUCUUUAGUGGCCGCUUGGAAAUGAGAGCUUUUUGUGGAGGAGGGGGAAGGCUCUCAUACUGUAAACCUGGCUCCAUCUGCUGUUGGUGAUGCUGUGAUUUCAAUUCCUCCCUCGGUCACUGGGGAUAUUAAAGUUGCUGCCCCAGCUAUUGAGAAUGUUGCUCCUAUUGAUUAAGAUCAAGGUGAAGGUGAUGAGUAGUUGAACAAUGAUAUUGUACUCAUAUUUUUCUUAAAUUUUUAAUUUCUAGCUAUUCUCUUUGUAUUGAAUUUUUUUUAAAUGAAAAGCGUUGUUGCGAGAUAUUUCAUACUUGGAAUUUUUUUAGAAAAUUUUUAUAUGCGAACCUUGGUCUUACAGUUGGGAGCUUUGCUCUUACUAACUAUGUUUGAGGCCGUGGCUCUUCACUUGUGAACAUUAAUUUUACAACUGGGAACUUUGAUCUUGCUAUCUGUAUUGGACGUCGCGACUCUUCACCUACAAACCUUAAUUUUACAGCUGGGAGCUUUGCUCUAGCUAACUAUGUUGAAGGUCACGACUUUUCACAUACGAACCUUAAUUUUACAAUUGGGAGCUUUACUCUCGCUAACUAUGUUGGAGGUCACGGCUCUUCGCUUGCAAACCUUAAUUUUACAACUGGGAGCUUUGCUCUCACUAACUAUGUUGAAGGUCGUAACUCCUCAUCUAUGAACCUUAAUUUUACAACUGGGACCUUUGUUCUCACUAAUUGUGUUGGAGGUCACGGCUCUUCGCCUGUGAACCUUAAUUUUAUAGACGAUAAUUUUGUGAGGAAGAAAUUUUAUUUAUAUGAUGGGUAUUCAUACAAAAUGCUUUUUAAGGUGUCGGGCAUUCUAGGUUUGCAGUAUCAUAACGCCUUCCAUUCUUGCCAAUUUAUAUGCUCCAUAGCUUAUCUUUUUUACCACCUUGUAUGGUUCCUCCCAACUCAGGGCCAUCUUUUUAGCAGAAGGUCGCCUAUUUGAAACUACUCUCCUUUGACCUUGGAGUUAUAAUAACGAGCUACUUGUUGGGCACGGGCUGUGUUUUUUAUUUCAACUAUUUCUCUAGGUUCGUCGAUUAACUCCAAGUUAAGUCUUAAGGCCACAUGAUUAGCUUUUUCAUUGAAGUGUUGCAUUCUGUGCGAUAUUAGGCCUAUCUCUACAGGGAUGACGACUUCUACACUAUAGACAAUUGAGAAGGUUGUUUCACUCGUCGCAGUAUGGGGCGUAGUUCGUAAUACCCAUAAGAUUUCUGGUAGUUCUUCUAAUUUGCCUGCUUUCUUUUUAAGCGCGGUCAAAAAUUUCUUUUUUAUAGCCUCUACUUGGCUAUUGGUUUGUAGGGUUUCACCGAGCUUUGAGCUAAGGAUACCCGGAAGUUUGUGCAAAAUUUCAUGAACUUCCCUUAGAACUGUGUGUCAUUGUCUAUGAUAACAGUGCGAGGUAUCUCAAACUUACAGACAAUCGACUUCUACAUUAAUGACUCUACCUGUCUCUCUAUUAUGGUUGCUAGAGCUUCUGUCUCAAUCCAAUUGGUGAAUUAGUCAACAGCUACUAUAAUGAACUUUUUCUGCAUUAUGGCUAUAAAAAAUGACCCGAGAAUAUUGACCCCCAUGUCGUAAAAGGGCCCUGUCAUGAUUUGGAGAGGUUCUGCUGGUUGUUGAUGUAUUCUGGCGUUUCUUUGGUAAGGGUCACAUUUUUUAACCAUGUGUUAGGCAUCUUCAUAAAUAGUAGGCCAAUAAUAUCCUUGUCUGAGUAUUUUCUUGCCUCCUAGAUGAUCACCGCAAAUGCCCUCAUGGGUUUCUCUCAUGAUAUACUUAGCUUUUGAUAGAGAGAGGCUUCGCAGAAAUGGGUAUGAAAACCUUUUUUUUAUAUAGCACGCCAUUUAGGAGGGUGUAUCGCGCUGCCUUGCAUUGUUAUUUUUCGAGCUCUUUUCAGUUUCUUAUUUACUGUGCAGUGUAUGGAUUAUAAGGGUCAUCUACAUUUCUUUCUAGGUUGUAGAGAACACUUGGGGAACGUCAUAGCUCGGUGCUUCCUUAUGUUCGAGUAAGAUUUUUCCUCUCUCUCAAUAAUGAUGGAGGAUGCAAGCUUUAACAGGACAUCUACGCACGUGUUGUCAUUUAUUAGAAGCUGUCUAACUUCAGCUUUGUUGAAUCCCUACAGCAAUUGAAUUACUGUUGUAUGAUAUCAUUUUAGUAUUAGUUAUUUAACCUCAUACUCGCGCUGUAUUUGCUUUACGAGGAGCUCAGAAUCGGUGUGCAUAGUCAAAUUCCUAGCACCUAGCUGGCACGCUAAUUGUAGUCCCAAGAUUAGCACUUAGUAUUCGGCGAUGUUGUUUGAUGUUUGAAAUCCAAAUUAUAGUCCAUAUUGUCACUCGUUACCCUCUAGGUCUAUCAUAAGUUCGCCUGCCCCGAAUCCCAUUCUAGCUGCGAAGUCAUCGACUUAAACCAUCCAAUCUUUCGAUUCAUCUAUUGUACGUACACUUCUUGGUGUGUUUACUAUUGGUAGUGUCCAAUAACAAAAAGUAAUUUUAGUAAAAAAUAUAAAGUGAUUAUUGUUUCUCUGCAAAGUGUGAGAAUCAUUAGUGAGAUAAAUUUUAUCGCAUAAUGUGUCACUCGUAAACUUGCUAAUUUUCAUUAGUAUUCACAUAUUACAUUAUGUCCGCGAGGUAUCUCACUAUUCGAUGUUUCAAAUUACAUUCUAUGUUACCUGUUAUAUCUUUAUUUCUUUCGAAUUAGCAUUCUACCAUGAUAUCUACCAACAUCUGCCCUUUUAUUGUCGUCCAUGGGGUAAAAUCUAUCCCAAAUUCAGUAAGUUCAAUGUUCUAUUUUGUUAUCCUCCCCAGGGUGUCUGCUUUGGCGAGCACCUCAUUCUUGGCUAGUUAAUGACCACGACGAUCAGGUGGGUCUGAAAGUAUGGGCGUAGCUUACGAGCUGCAAUGAUUAGAGCAUAGAUGCAUUUUUCUGUAUUUGUGUAUUUGAGCUAGCCAUACUGAAAGACCUUGCUAACAUAAUACAUUAGAAAUUAGAGGAUGUCUUCGGAUUUGACCAAGACGGCUGCGAUUGUUUCUUCUGAGGCUGCUAGGUACAAAUAUAGUGUUUCUCUUCUUUGAGGCGGCCUUAGAAGUGGGAGGAAAGUAAGGUACCAUUUUAGCUAUUUGAAAGUAGUUUGACACUCUUCGUUCCAUGAGAAGGGUUUCUUUAAAGCCCUGAAAAAUUGUAAGCACUUGUAUGCCAUUCUGGAGAUAAAUCUAUUUAUCGUCACCACUCCGACUAUUAGGCGUUGGAUUUCUUUUAUAGUUCGCAGUGGGGGAAUCUCUGUGAUAGCUUGAAUUUUUUCUAAGUUCGUCUAUAUUCUCUUCUAUGAUAUCAUAAAACCCAAGAACUCGCCAGCUCACAUACUGAAUGAGCAUUUUUCGGAGUUAAGCUUCAUAUUGUGGGCCUUCAACAUCGUGAAUGUGUCAAUAGGUUUCGCACAUACUCCUCCAUAGAUUUACUUUUUACAAGUAUAUCAUCUAUAUAUACCUCUAGAUCGCAACCUAUCUGUUCUUUGAAUAUCUUGUUUACCAAAGUUACACUCAGAUUUUUAGUCUAAAUGGCAUAACCUGGUAACAGAAGAGACCUUACUUAUUGAUGAAGGUUGUCUUCUACUGGUCACCUUAGUCUAAUAGGAUUUGAUUGUAGCUCGAGAAGGCAUCCAUGAAGCUCAUGUACUUGUGCCCAGUGGAGAUGUCCACUAGGCAAUUUGUCGACGGUAAGGGGAAGCUAUAUUUAGGGCAUACCUUGUUUAAGUUUGUGAAGUCAAUAAAUCUUACACUUGCAUGUCGUCUUUUUUAUCAUUACCACAUUCAAAAUCUAAUCCAGGUACUCCAAUUCCCUGAUAAAUCUAACGGCUAACAACUUGGUGACCUCCUAUCUUAUUGCUUCGAUUACAUGUGGUGCGAAAUUUCCCUUCUUUGUUUCAUGGCUUUUGCCUUUGGGAGUAUAUUUAACUUGUACACUAACGCUUGGCAGAACCGUUGCGGACUAUGUGAAGACGUCUGAAUUCCCCCUCGAGCAUUCGACCACUAAAAUCUUUUUUUCUCCAUUCAGUGCUAACAAAAUUCUGACUGUUCUUUCUUUAUUACUGCAAAAUAUCUGUAGGGUCUCUGUGUGCUCUGCUGUAUUGGGUUUUGUAUAUUGAUGUUCUUCCCUCAUAUUUAGGUCAUCCAAGUUGAUGGCUUUUCUUGGCGAACUUUGCUUCUUGAUUAGAGGCUGUUUUGCCUACCUCACAGACAGUAUGUGACACUGUCUCACCGUGCACUGGUUGACUCACAAGAAGUUGACGUCGGAACUUGUCUGAAACUUGAUCUUCAUACAAUAAGUUGUCAUCACCAUCUUUUCCAUUUGCAUGAUUGGUCUACCAAAGAUGGCGUUACAUGCCAUUGGGUAAUCAACCACAUAAAAUUGGACACAUUUCGUGGUCGUAUGUUCGCUAUCACCCUGAGUGACUGGUAAUGUGAUAAUGCCCCUUACUUUGGUAGGAUGGUUUGAAAAGUAGUACAAAGGGCUGGUUACGAAUAAUGAUUACUUUUUUAAGCCUAUUUUCUUAUAUGCUCCCCAAGAUAGGACUUCUACUACGCUGCUACUAUCGGCAAGUAUCCUUUUGACUUCAAACCUUACGAUCUAAGCUGAAACCACUACUGGGUCAUUUUCAUCUUCGUCGCGGACUAGCUCAUCAUCACCACUUCCAAACUCCAUAUUUUACUAUUCAUAGUGUCUCAGUUUCUUCGAGAUACUAAGCGACAUCACACCACUCAUGUGAGCUCGCUUCUUUUUGUGCUUAACUGCAUCCACUCAUUGCUUGUGCCUACUAUUACAUGAAUGGUUCCUCAUACCCUUUGCUUUUCCUUGGGGUCCAGUCCUUACGAACUCUGGCCCUGUUAGAAACCUCCCUUGUUUAUGAACUCAACAAGUUCGCCAUUCUAGAUAGCUUCUUCUACGGUGUCCUUUAACAUGAAGCAGUCUUCGAUCUUAUGUUCUGUAUCAUCAUGGAAGGCUUAUUGAUCCUUAGAAUUCGUCCCUCUACCGGUACUUCGCAUCAGGGGUGAUUUAGAAAGGAUGCACAAGCUCUUCACCUGGUUAAUGAUGUAAGCUCGUGUGGCAUUCAAUAAGGUGUAAGCUUCGAACCUGCCUUGGGGGGUAUAACGCCUCAUGUACUCAUGUUGGUGCCUUUGCGGGUUUUUAAAUAAAUCACUUUGGGUUGAGGUCUUGUGUGACCUAUCGGUCCUAACCCGCAAGAACUAGUUGCUAGGAGAUUGCCUAGUGCGUUGCCCUUCUCUGUUCCUAGGUUGUCUAUCCUCCCUUUAAAAUCUAACUCGUGAUACCUUCUUGAUUUCUUCUGCCUUCGUGAACUUACGAGCUCGUUUGUAUAGGUCAGCUAGGCUCUGAACCUAUUAUCAGUUAACGAGUACUGCAUAUAGUCAUUAUGCACCCCUAUGAUGAAUGCUUCUAUUGCUCAUUGGUCUUCUAAGUUUUUUGUGUUGAGUGUAGCUAUGUGAAACCUCUUUAUGUAGUCUUGGAGAGACUCACCCUCUCGGUACUUAACCGAUAUUAGCCCCAUAGGUGUAUUCAUGAUUGCUCGGUGGGUCUAAAAUCUUCUCAAGAACAUUUUCCCUAGCUAUGAGAUGUUGCAAACUGAGCCUUGGUGGAAGAGAGAGAUACCAGCCAUUGGUGCUUGCUUUCAGCGUUGUAGAGAAUGCUUUGUAUUUUGCAGUGUCUGAUGCUCCCAACACAUUCAUAUAGUUGUUAUAUUGCAUUCAAAUAUGUCCUUAGGCACCUUGAAGUCACGGGGUAGGCCAACUUCCGCGAUUUCGAGAGCUAAAAGGUUAUUAGAACAAAACAACCAGUCUAUGUCUUGCGACUCUAGCUGCAGGGCCCGUAUGUCGCGACAAAGCUCAUCCAUCUCAUUUAUCCACUCCUUCACCUAAGUGCUCGUGGCUUCAUUUUGGGUGGUAACAUUUAUUGGGAUCCCGAGUUAUUGGCUUGUGCCUUUUAGCGUAGUUCCUUAUUUUGCCUUAGUAACUCCUAUUGAAAGGCUUGCUGUUCCACAAAUCGUGCCUCUUGUGCCGUCAUUUACUCCCUCAUGAACUUCAUCUACUCCUAGAGGGCUUGGAGCUACGAGCAGGGUGGUUCUUAGUUGAGGGAAUAGAGCAUUCCCUAAUCGGAGGAGAGAUUAAGGUCUAAGGAAGGAGAAGGCCCUCGAUAAACCGUAUUCUCGAGGUUUUCGGGCCUGACAGCAAAUCAGACAACAAACAAGUCUAUUUCAUCAUGUCAAGGGUCGGGACUCGAUGCUUCUAUCUGACUGGAGGAGAGGAUGAAAGGAGAGGUGUAACAGCCUAAUUUUCAGUGGUGUUGGAACAGUGAUUCGAGAUCACUAAAUCCGACAAAUGAGUAGGAUAUAUUAAUUUAGUGUGUAUAAAUUAAAUGUGCAGUUAGGAAAAAUUUUGAAAUAGUGAAUAAUGUACUAAAAAUAAAUAUUAAAAUAAUUAAAAUUGAAAAUGAGGUAUCGAGACCUCGAGAAUUUCAAAUCGAGCCAUAAAUAUUUUUAUAAAUAUUUAUGGAGUGUUAAUAUGUUAGUAUUAAAGUUUCGUCAAGAAAUUUUAAAGUUUUGAUAGUUAAUUGAACAAAAAGGACUAAAUUGUAUCAAAUGCAAAAUUUUGAGAAAUGAUUAAAUAGCUUAAUUGAUAAAAGAAAGAGGGUUUAAAAGGAAAAUAGACCCAAGGUCUAUUUGGGCUGGACGGCAAGGGCAUGAAAUCAGCAAGAAAAUAAGGAGAAUUAAGGGCAAAAUUGGAAAAUUCCCAAAAUUAACUAAAUAAAAAUGGGACCAAUUUGGAAUAUCUAGAAUUCUCUUCAUUUCUCUUCAUAUUAAUCAGCUGAAAAAUAGCCAUGGAGGAGGGUUGAAGCUGGUUUUCAUACUCUAGCUUCAUGUAAGUUUAAUUCUUGCUUUCCCCUUGAAAUUUUUAUGUUUUUGUGACUUUUACAACUAGGUCCACUUGUUGAAUUCAUUAGUUUUUGAUUCUAUGAAAGAAAUUAAGUUGCUAUGAAUAUGUUAUGGAAGUAUAUAUGAUUUGGCAUGGAAUUAGAGCUUUAAAUUGUUUAUAUGCUGAUUUUAUUGAAAGAAUUGAAUAGAAAGUGAAUGUUUAGGACCUAAUUGUAAAAGAGUUUGAAGUUAGAGUUUUAUAUGGAAAUUAUGAAUUUCAAUAGUUAUGAAAUAACUUAUAAUGUUUAGGAAAAGUAUUAAUUGAGAAAAUUAUCUUAAUUUAUGGGUUAAUUGAGUAAGGACUGAAUUGUAUGAAUUGUGAAAUUUGGGGCAAAAUGGAAAUCAACAUUUUGCACUAAAACUGUUUUGGACAGCAGCAGUAGUCUAACUUUGAAAAAUCACCAAAAAUUUUAGAAAUGGAAUUAGAGGAUGAAUAAAAUAUGAAAUUAAAGAUUAUUGAGUCUAGUUUCUUAUAGAAGAAAUAAUGUAAGCAAUGGAAUUGUAAAUCAUGAGAUAUGAUAAAUUUUGUGAGACAAGGUCAGAAUGAAUUCGAGAUCCACUGUCCUGACUUUAGAAAUUUACCAUAAAUUGUAAAAAACUUAUUAAGAGUCAUAAUUUACAUGCAUGGAUUCCUUAUUGAGUCUAUUAUCAAGAGAAACAAACAGGAACAUCAUUCAAAUCCUGUACGAGGAGAUAAUUAGUUUUUAGUGAAGAAGGGUCGGAACUAUCAGACAGCAGAACAGGGGAGACUUCAAUGAAUAAACUGUAUUAAUUGGCCCAACCAAAAAUUAUGAAAUUUUUAUGGUAAGAAGACGUAUGAGUCUAGUUUCUGGGAAAAUUUAUGGAUCUUAAUUUGGAGUUCUUUAGCUCAAUAUAAAAAUAAUUUAGUGACUAUGACAUAGAUGGACAGCUUGAAUAUUCACCUAAGUAGAUAGUAAAAAUUAUGGAUAAUGUUACCUACAAAUCUGUUGUUUAUACUAAGGUCUUGUUUAUACUAAGGAUGUGGAUGGAGAGGAGGAGGAGGAAAAAUAUACAUAUAUAUGAAUGACUUGUGUAUAAAUUGAUCACAUGCCCGAUUAUAAUCAAUGAAUGUUGAAUUAGAAAUGAUAUAAUAUUUUAUUUGGAAUAUUUAUGAAUGUUAAUUGUUGAAAAUAAGUAAAUUGUGUACAAAAGGUAUGAAAUUGAACUGAGUAUUUCGAAAGAAUGGAAUACAGGAAAUGAGUACGAUCUUUCAGUGAAAAAGAUGAAUUGACGGUAAAUUACCCAAGUAAACCGAGAUUCAGCAUUUGUUGCGAAUUCUCGUGUUUACUUUCCGUUUAGCUCUUACGAGCUUCUGCUAACUCAUAUGAUUUCAGUUAACCCUUUUGGGGUUUCAGUUCAGCUCUGAUGAGCUUCAGUUAGCCUUUGGGCUUCCGUUUAGCACUUAUGUGCUUCAGUUAGCCUUCGAGCUUCCGUUUAGCACUUAUGUGCUUCAGCUAGACUUCGGGUUUCAGAUCACGAUGUACUUCAAUUUGUAAGUCGUUUCUUAAAUGGAGAAGCUGGUAAGUUGUAAAUGUAACGUGUGGAAAAAGAAAUGUAAGUAAUGCUAUUAUUAUUAUUGAGCUCAAUUAUAUGAUUUCGUCAUUCGGAGAUUGCGAUUGACAAAAUAUGUUAGUAAAUUAUGAGUAUGUGAAUCAAAGUGACAGAAUUUAAACACUUAAUGAGGUUGAGCUCAUUCACAUGAAUUUGUCAUUUGAAAUUGUGAUUGACAGGAAGAAACAGUGAAUUGCAUACUUAUGAAUGGUUACAUAUAAUUACCUGAAAAACAAGAAAAAUGACAGUGAUUGAUAUAUGGAGACAUGAGACAUUGAUAUAUGAAUGUGGAAUAUAUUUGAUAAAUGUGUUCAUUCAUAAUUAUGGAAUUAUGUACCUCAAGUGUGCUAUUUGCAUAAAGAUGAUAUUUCAAAUACUUUGGUGAAUAAAGAUUAAAUAUGAAAUUGUAUGAAAUCGAGACAAGAUGUUAUGAAAAUAUAUAUAAAUUAUCCGUAAGUGUGUCGUACUUAUUGGCAAUGCCUCGUACUCUAUUCCGGCGACGGAUACGGGUAGGGGGUGUUACAAGAGGUCUCGUCGGGGUGAGUCAUUUUUUGCUUUAGGUUGAAGAGAAUUGAAUCAAACUAGAGAAAAUAUGUCAGUCAAAAGUAGUCCACCUUCAUCGCACCAAUUGUUGAGUAAUAUUAUCUUGUGUUGUAUUAAAGGAAACACAGGGGGGAUUUAUACACAUUCCUACUACUACUAUUACAGCUCAAAAUAGGAUACACUAUUUUGUCUUGGCCUUUGGGCUGAGGGUAUUGACAUUCCCUAUCCUUGGUACUGACAUUCUCUGGGCCUCCUCUGGCUUAUUGAAUGCUUACUUGCGGAGCACGCAGUCCUUUUUGACCCUGAGAUUGACUCUCCCAACGAACCUCGCACCUACUAGUCACGAGCAGGGGUCCUCUUCGCAGACAUGGCUCGCGACCUCGUCCCUGCAAGGUUUACGCAAGCUCUCCUCUUGCGACCUCAUUCCUGCGAGGCUUACAUGAGCUCUCCCGCGGGCUUCCAGCGAACAUCUUACAUUCCUGCAAGGUCCUCAACUGACUAUGCUUGUAGGGGAGCAUUCUUCUUCCGGGUGGGGUUCAUCUGGGUCGGAGGUCCAGAUCCUAUCGGUCACUUGGACUAUCGAUUCCCAAAUCCUAACAAGUUUCAUUAAUUGGACACUGAUCUAAAACGUUUGAUAACAACUAGCGUUAUUGACAAUAUUAUGCAAAUUACGAGUAUAUCUAAUCAAGAGGCGGAAUUAUUCGUUCAAACUUAAAGGUUUGUUCAACAUAUAAAGGAAUUUGAACAAAAAUACGAUACUCAAAAAAUAAAUUUAGACAAAAUUUAAGAUUUUUUUAUUCAAGCCGAGAAUUGAUUAAUACCCACCAAUGUAUAAGAAAUUUUAAUGCAACCCACAAGUUUUUAAUUGAUUAAUUAAGUGAACUUUUCUCAUAAUUGAUAAUGUAUCUUACUUAACUUUAUUAAUAUUAAGAUUUUAUUUAAGUUGCGGUAAUGCUAAUUUAAUUAAAAUUUCUAUUUAAAAACAUAAAUAAAAUUAGAUUUAUGAAACACCCACGAGAUAAAUGAAAAAAUUAUGUAACACAUAUGUUUAUAAAAAAUUUCACAUAAAAAAAAUUUUAAUUGGUAUUUUCGUUACAAUUGUAAAAUUAAUUACUUAUAUGUUGUUCUAAAUUCAAAUAUCAUUAUGUUUAAAUUUUUAUUGAUUUAUUAUAAAAGGAUAAAAGCAACCUCAUAAAAUAUAACUUAAUUUGUAUAUUAUAGGAUAAUUUAAUAGUUUUUAAUAAAAAAUAUACAUUUUUGCCAACAAAAUUACAGUUACAACAUGGCCUAAAAAUCCCAUAAGAUGAAAAUAAAAAUGGCAUCAAGAAGAAAGAAGCUCAAUGCUACAUUGCCAAAAAAUCUGCAGUAAGAAGAGACCCCACGAUGGUACCCAAAUAGAAGUCAUCCACCACAAAAGAAGAGAACAUUAAUCAAUUCACCCCUAUACAAUUUAAAUUACUUAUAACACCAUUUAAAAAAAAAACCAAUAACUUAUAACACCAAUUUGCAUAAUUAUAUGUAAAAAGAUUCAGGGACGCGGUACGGUUUCAAAGGUACACAGGCACAUUGACUGUUUUUGUCUGUGAAAGAUAUAAAGAAAAUUGAUUAUCCCAUGUGCUGUGACCAGUGAUGUAGUUUGGUGUCUUUUGCCUCAAUCUCACAACCCAUACUCUUGCUUGCUUGCUGCUUCUCAAAUACUCUUAAUUCUAAACCCUAAAUUAUAAAAAUUAUUUUAAAAUUUAAAAUUGUUAAAUUGUUAAAUUUUAAUUAAUUGUAAAUGUGGCACACGUGAAAUAUCAUACUAUAGAUGUCACAUCAAUAAAGUUAAUAGACUUUAACUUUUUUAUUAAUUUUGAGGUGAUUUGAUAAAAAAAAUGUAAAUUCAAGCAUUAAAAAAAGUGAAAAAUUAAAUGAACAGCUAAAAUAAUUUUUCUUAUAAAAUUAGAGGGCUAAAUAAAUAAUUAUGCCUUUGGCUUUGUAAAAAUAUAAUUCAAUGAUGUCUUAAUGUAGAACAAGCAGCAAAAGAUACCCACCAAGUAUCUAAAUAAAUUUCUCAUACAAAAGCUUGUAAAUAAUUUGACACAGUCAAGAACUUACUAAAGAUCACACAAGGGCUGAAAUAUACUAUAACAAGGGUUGAGAGCAUUUAGUAACUACUUGUAAACAAAGCAGUAAAAUCAGUCCUAAUUAAACCAAGCACACUUACAUCACAACCAUAACAAGUUUCCAAAAGUCCUAAUUGCAGCGGUCCUAAAAUGUGGCUGUGAUUUGAGCUAUUAUACAGUUCUUGAAGCUUCGGACUAGAGCAUGACAGUUUCAUUGAGUAUCAAUUCACCCUCAGAUUCCUUGGGGGAUGUCUUGCUAAUUGGUUGAUCCUUCAUGUGAAAGAUAUCAAUUUUCGUGAAUGUCUUGCUAAGCGCAUAUAUUUUACACUUUUUAGGCCGAAGAUUUAGCAUUUUGCACAAUCCUUAAGUAAAAUGGUGCAUAUUAGAGUGGACAAUAAUGAGCUUCGCAUAAAGGACAAAUAUUGCCAAAUCCUAUUUUUAAUUUCAAGAUAACGUUUGACUUUAGUUAAAAAAGAAAAAGAAAAAGAAAAAAUAAACUUAGGGUUAUCCACAUAUUUUAUAAAUUAGAGUGGAAUCUUAACCCUGAAGAACUUAAAAUUAUUUAUUAGCUAAAUGGUUACUAGUGAUAGUUGUUGCUGGUACAUAAUUAAAAUGAUUUUUAAUGCAGAAAUCCAUGGUUUGAUUCAUGGAUCUUGAUGGGGCCGGGUUUUUGGUUUAAUAUUCAAACUCAAAUUGAUGUUGAACUUGUUGCAAGCUUGGAUAUAUACCAGAUAUUUCAUGCCACCUGUAAAGAAAGAAUAAAAAGGUUUCAAUAUUCAUCAAAGACUCAGUCUACCAAAAAACGAGUUCAAUCUCAUUCCCAUCUAAUAAGCAGAUACCAAAGAUGAUGCUACUAAUAAUUCUUGUCAUUCUUCUUCUUGUAUUUCUUCUUCAGAAGUACGAAAAAGAGAGAAGCCCAGCAAAGGAAAGCUCCCAUUGUGUAUCUCGUUCUCUUGUGCCUCAAUCCGACAAUCCAUACCCUUUGACUUCUUCAUCUUAUCAAGUCAAACAUCAAGUUUUCUUGAGCUUCAGAGGUGAAGACGUACGCCUUAACUUCACCAGCCAUCUACUCAAAGCUUUGAAAGAUACGGGAAUUAAUGUAUUCUUCGAUGAAGAAACAUUGGAAAGAGGGAAGCAACUUUAUUGAAGCAAUGGUUAGCAUGUAGCAAUCACAUGUUUUAUUAUUAUUAUUAUUAUUAUUAUUAUUAUUAUUAUUAUUAUUUGGAUGUAAUGAUGUAACUUAGUUGUAUUCCAACUAAGUUUGUUAGUGGUAGUAGGUGGUGAUUUAUUUUAAGUGGAUGUAAUGAUGAAACUUAGUUGUAUUCCAACUAAGUUGUCAAGUUGUAAGCUUGUAUAAAUAGGCUUUAUGCCAUUUUAAAAAAUAUGAAUGAAUUCAAUCAAGAUUUCAUCCAUAUACUCUCUAUUUUAGCUUUGCUUAAAAUUUAUUUCAUUUUUCUUCUUUGUUUCUGCCGCAAGUCUCGAUUCUUGCUCAUCAAGCUUUUUGUUGAACCUUGCUAUUUGUUGCACUUAGCUCCAACAAUUGGUAUCAAGAGCCUAUUUCUUAAGGGAUCUGUUAUACAAAUUCAUGGCUUCAUCAAGCUUUUCACCAGCUGCACCUCAAGUCUUCAAUAGAGAAGGCUACCACAUAUGGGUGGUUAAAAUGAAGACCUACCUACAAGCUUUCGAUCUGUGGGAGGUAGUCAACUCAGAUGUUGAACCAGAGCCACUCAGAGGCAAUCCAACAGUGGCUCAAAUCAGGCAGCAUGCUGAUGAGAGGACCAAGAGGCACAAAGCCAUGUCUUGCAUCCAGAACUCAGUGUCAGAUGUGAUUUUCACAAGGAUUAUGGCCUGUGAAUCACCAAAACAAGCCUGGGACAAGUUGCAAGAGGAGUUUCAAGGGACAGAGAGGACAAGGCAGCAACAGUUGCUGAACUUAAGGAGAGAUUUCGAGAAUUUGAAGAUGAAGGAAGAAGAAACUAUCAAGCAGUACUCUGACAGGAUUAUGGCUGUUGUUAACAGCAUUAGGCUCCUUGGAGAGCAGCUCAAGGAAGCUAGAAUAGUGGAGAAGGUUAUUGCAACUCUGCCCGAGAGGUAUGAGGCAAAAAUCUCAUCUCUCGAGGACUCAAGGGACCUGUACACCAUCUCCCUGACAGAGUUGAUCAAUGCUUUAUAUGCUCAAGAGCAAAGAAGAGCAAGCAGACUGGAGGAGCAUCAAGAAGGUGCCUUUCAGGCAAGAACAAACAUUGCCUACAAAGGCAAGAAGGCCUGGAGAGACAAGCCAAGGACUGAUGUUGCAAGAAAAGAGGGUCAGACUUGCAAGCACUGCAGAAGGGCUGGUCAUCCAAAAGAAAAAUACUGGUUCAAUCCAGAUGCUGUAUGUCAGCAUUGUAAAAAGAAGGGUCAUGUUGAGAGAGUCUGCAAGAGCAAGGCCAAAUCAAGGCAGAGUCAGUUUCAACAGAUGAAAGCUGAGGCUCGAGUAGCUAAGGAGGACAGUGACCAAGAGGAGCAAGUCUUUGCUGUGUUAUGCUCAGCUGCUCAAGAAAGGUUCUCAUCUGGUUGGCUUCUAGACAGUGGAUGCACCAACCACAUGACACCUGAUGCUGUAAUCUUCAAGUCUUUAGACAGAAGCUGCAGAACUAAAGUCAAGAUAGGAAAUGGACAUUUUAUUCAAGCUGAAGGCAAGGGUGAUGUGCUGAUAUGCACCCCCACAGGUGCCAAAGUGAUUUCAAAUGUGCUUUUGGUGCCUGAAAUUGACAGAAACCUGCUCAGCAUAGCUCAGUUGCUGGAGAAAGGUUAUUCUGUUGUGUUCAAAGACAACCAAUGCCAAAUCAAUGAUCCAAGUGGAUCCAAGCUGAUGGCAGUUCCUAUGGCUAAUAAGAGCUUUGUAGUUGACUGGACCAGGGAGUCAAACAUUGCCUACACAGUCACAUCAGAUGAAUCUAAGCUUUGGCAUCAAAGACUGGGACAUGCCAACUUCAGAUCGAUGGCUCGAAUGGUCAGAGAGGACUUGGCUGAAAACUUCAUCAACUCAGUGGAUCAUGAUGAUGUGUGUGAAGUGUGUCAGCUAGAAAAGCAGGCCAGACUCCCAUUUCCCUCGAAUCAAGCCUGGAGAGCCUCUGAAAAACUCCAACUGGUGCACACUGAUGUGUGUGGCCCUAUGAGGACUGAGUCAUUAAGUGGAAACAGGUACUUCAUACUGUUCAUUGAUGAUUUUUUAAGAUAUUGUUGGCUUUACUUCCUAAAACAGAAAUCAGAGGCGGCCUCAGUGUUUUGGAAGUUCAAGACUGCUGCUGAGACUGAAACAGGUUGCAAGCUGAAGUCCAUAAGGUCUGAUAAUGGGACUGAGUACACCUCAGCUCAGUUCCAAGCCUUCUGUGAUAAGGCAGGCAUCAAACAUCAACUUACCAACACAUAUACACCUCAGCAAAAUGGUGUAAGUGAAAGGAAGAAUAGGAGUUUGAUGGAUAUGGCCAGGUGCUUGAUGAUUCAGAAGAAUCUGCCUAAAGCACUAUGGGCAGAGGCAGUUAACACUGCAAACUACAUUCAAAAUAGGCUUCCAACCAAGGCCUUGGAUCAGAAGACUCCAUUCGAAGCCUGGUUUGGAUUCAAGCCAUCACUGGCUCAUCUGAAGGUCUUUGGAUGCAUCUGUUAUGCUCAUGUACCUGCUGUAAAAAGGGAUAAAUUAUCUGAAAGGGCUCGACCUGGUAUUUUGGUGGGCUACAGCACUGUUAAGAAGGGCUAUAGGAUCUUGGAUCCUUCAACAAAGAAAGUGCCAGUCAGUAGGGAUGUGGUAUUUGAUGAAAAGUCAUGUUGGAACUGGGAAAAACAUGAACCUGAGGAAGUUUCAGAAGGACUUGCAGCAGAUCAAGCUGAGCCAGAUCAAAAUGUUCCUGAAAUGGACAUUGAUGAUGAACCAGUUAGAGGAACAAGACCAUUGACUGAGAUUUAUGAAAGAGCUCAUGUAGCCAUAGCUGAACCAAGCAAUUUUGAAGAGGCUGAAGCUCAGCAAGAGUGGAAGCAGGCAAUGGCUGAGGAGAUUAGCAUGAUUGAGAAGAACCAGACUUGGGAAUUAGUUGAAAGGCCAGUCAAAAGGAAGAUAAUUGGGGUGAAAUGGGUGUACAAAGCCAAGCAAAAUGCUGAUGGUACCUUGAACAAACUGAAAGCAAGGCUAGUUGUCAAGGGGUUCAGUCAGAGGUAUGGCCUGGACUACCUGGAGACCUUUGCACCAGUGGCCAGACUAGACACCAUCAGAUUACUGAUUGCCUUAGCAGCACAGCUCGAGUGGAAGAUCCAUCAACUCGAUGUGAAAUCAGCCUUUCUGAAUGGUUUCUUAGAUGAAGAGAUCUAUGUUGAACAACCACAAGGGUUUGAGAUAGCUGGCAGAGAGCAUAUGGUCUACAAACUGAAGAAGGCCCUAUAUGGCUUAAAACAGGCUUCAAGGGCCUGGUACAGCAGAAUCGAUGGCUACUUGACUAAUUUGGGAUUCGAUCGAAGCAAGAGUGAGCCAACACUGUAUGUCAAGAAGCAAGGGACACAAACACAGCUCAUUGUAUCCCUAUAUGUUGAUGACCUGCUGGUGACAGGAGGAGAUCGAGCAGUGCUGGUUGAUUUCAAGACCAAGAUGCAAGAAGUAUUUGAAAUGUCUGAUCUAGGGGAAAUGUCUUAUUUCCUUGGAAUGGAGGUGACUCAAGCACAAAAUGGGAUAUUUCUAAGUCAGAGAAACUUUGCCACAAAGAUUCUGACCAAGUUCUCCAUGCAAAACAGUAAAGCAACUAAAACACCUGUUGCUGUUGGAGAAAAACUAUCGAGCCAAGGUGAUUUUGAGAAGGUUUGUGAAACAACCUACAGAAGUCUAGUUGGUUGUCUGUUAUAUUUAACUGCCACUAGACCAGACAUAAUGUAUGCUGUAGGAUUGCUCUCAAGGUUCUUGCAUUGUUGCAAUAAAAAGCAUUUACAAGCUGCUAAGAGAGUGCUUAGAUAUGUCAAAGGCACUUUGAGCUAUGGUUUAAGGUACAGCAAUGAAGGAAAUCUGAAGCUGGUUGGCUACACUGAUAGUGACUGGGCUGGCUCGAUAGAUGACAUGAAAAGCACCUCAGGGUAUGCUUUCAACCUUGGUUCAGCCAUGUUUUGCUGGAGCUCGAAGAAGCAAAGUCUGGUGGCUCAAUCUAUUGCUGAAGCAGAAUAUGUGGCAGCUGCAAGUGCUGUCAACCAAGCCAUUUGGCUAAGGAAAAUCUUAGCUGAUUUGAAAGUGCAUCAAAAGGAAGCUACUGAGAUCUUCUGUGACAACCAAUCUUCAGUUGCAAUUGCUAAAAAUCCAGUGUUCCAUGGAAGAACAAAGCAUUUCAGCAUCAAGUUGCAUGUUGUUCGAGAAAUGGAGCAAGCUCAGGAAGUGAAACUGAUCCAUUGUAAUUCUGAGGAUCAACUUGCAGACAUUUUGACUAAAGCCCUUAAUGUCACAAGGUUCGAAUGUCUAAGAAGGAAGCUAGGUGUUUGCUCCAUGCAAACCAAGGAGGAGUAUUGAAGCAAUGGUUAGCAUGUAGCAAUCACAUGUUUUAUUAUUAUUAUUAUUAUUAUUAUUAUUAUUUGGAUGUAAUGAUGUAACUUAGUUGUAUUCCAACUAAGUUUGUUAGUGGUAGUAGGUGGUGAUUUAUUUUAAGUGGAUGUAAUGAUGAAACUUAGUUGUAUUCCAACUAAGUUUGUUAGUGGUAGUAGGUGGUGAUUUAUUUUAAGUGGAUGUAAUGAUGAAACUUAGUUGUAUUCCAACUAAGUUGUCAAGUUGUAAGCUUGUAUAAAUAGGCUUUAUGCCAUUUUAAAAAAUAUGAAUGAAUUCAAUCAAGAUUUCAUCCAUAUACUCUCUAUUUUAGCUUUGCUUAAAAUUUAUUUCAUUUUUCUUCUUUGUUUCUGCCGCAAGUCUCGAUUCUUGCUCAUCAAGCUUUUUGUUGAACCUUGCUAUUUGUUGCACUUAGCUCCAACAAACUUUCACAAGCACUUUCUCGAGCUAUUGCAGCCUCAAACAUCUCAAUAAUUAUAUUAUCAUUAGAUUAUGCUUCUUCAAAAUCGUGCCUGGCUGAACUCUCUGACAUCAUGGACUACAAGCGCACUCAAGGACAUACUGUUCUUCCCAUUUUUUAUCAUGUUGAUCCUUCCCAUGUUCGGAAUCUUGGUGGAAGUUUCAAAACUUCCUUUGAUGAUCAUGAAUCAAAAAGGCUACGUCAGGUACAACGAUGGAAAGCUGCCUUCGUUGAAGUGGGAAAAUUAAAAGGGUGGCAUAUAGAAGGAGGCAAAUUUGACAGGUAACUAUAUUUUUCUCACCUUCUUAUAUUUGACUAAUCUUUGUUUUAGAUUUCAUUUAUAUUUAUUUAUUGUUUGUUUGCUAGACCUGAAACAGAGUACAUCAAGGAUAUUGUUGAAUAUGUUAUAAAAAUGUUGAUGAGUAGCAAAUCUAGACAUGUUUAUGAAGAACUGGUCGGAAUAGGUUAUCAGAAAGAUGCAAUUUCGAGGCUGAUUGAGCAAGAAGGCAGCCGUGUAAUAGGACUCUGGGGAAUGGGUGGUAUAGGCAAAACAACCCUUGCUGAUGCAGUUUAUAAGGAAAUGUCUCCAAAUUUUGAAAGCUGCUGGUUUCUUCAAAAUGUUAGUGAGAAAAUAAAAAAACAAGGAAAGGAAUCUUUACGAAAUGAUCUUCUCUCCAAACUGUUAAAUGAAAAAGAUAUUCGUAUAGAUACUCCUUUGAUAGGAUACCCUUACCAAGAGAGGCUGAACAAUAAAAAAGUACUUGUUGUGCUCGAUGAUGUUAGUCACCAAGACCAAAUAACUAUUAUGGGUGUUAGACAUUUUGGUGAUGGAAGUAAAAUCAUUGUAACAUCUAGAGAUAGAAAAGUACUUGAGAAUGGAGAAGCUGAUCAAAUUUAUGAGGUAAAGAAGUUAAAUGAGAUUGACUCUCUUCAGCUAUUUUCUACUUGUGCGUUUAAGCAGUCGAAUCCUGAUGCUGAUUUUCGAGACCUAUCAAUAAGGUUUGUAGAGUACACACAAUACAAUCCACUUGCUCUAAAAGUUUUGGGUUCCCAACUAUAUAAAAGGUCUAGAGAAUAUUGGAAAAGCGAGAUGGAUAAGCUAAAGGAAUAUGGCCAACCAGAAAUUUCAAAUAUUUUGAAGAGAAGCUUUGAUGGGCUUGAUGAACAAGAAAAGAAUAUAUUCCUUGAUAUUGCAAUCUUCUUAAAAGGGGAACUUAAGGAAAAUGUAGAAAAAAUUCUAAGUAGUUGUUAUAAUGGCGCAAAGUCUAGCAUCAGAAACUUGAUCGACAAGUGCCUACUAGAUAUCACACCUCUUCCUAUUUCUUUGCGUGAUAUACUUGAAAUUCGCAGUAAGUUUCCCAAGAGAAAAGCAGAAGAGAUUGCAAGUUUCCCAGACAGAGGUGCAUUAGAUGAUCGAAGAAACAGCCUCUUGGAUGAGAUUCCGCGAUGUAUUUCUAUGCAUGAUAUGCUUGAGCUGAUGGGCAAGGAUAUUGUUCACCAAGAAUCUAGAGCUCCUGGAAUGCGCAGUAGGUUAUGGAAUCCUAAUGAAGUAAAGCAAGUGCUGAAAAAUAAUAAAGUAAGUAUUAAUUGUACUCAUGUUUCUUUUUAUAUUUUUUUAUAUAUUUGUGUGAUUUUUUCCUAGGCUUAUAAAAUUUUAUUAAUAAUAAAGAUCCGAAAACGGGAAUAGAAAAAAAAAAACCAACUCAACAAUAUAUAUAUAUAUAUAAAAUCUAUGUACAAAAAAAAAAUACCAUUAAAAACAUGCCCAUUCCACCAAAAGAGCAAUCAGAAAUCACUUCUAGUCACCAUAACCCAUGUCGUGUAAAACAUUUACUAAAUCAAAUCACAUCCAAUUGAAAUCAGGAUUAUAAAAAUUAAUUACUUGUAUUUAGUUUUAAUUGAUAGAGAUAGAAGAACUUCAACUCCAAUAAUUCAAACUAUUUUUAAAUUGAUUUGAUAAUUCGAAUAACUCAUUAAAAUUAAACUGAUUAAUUUAAAAGUUGAUUUUUUUUUGUUUUUCCAAGGAGAAAAUUGAAUUUUACUCAACCUCCCUAAGUCAUUGAUCAUUAUGUGUAUGGUAUGUAAAUAAAGAUUUUAUUUUUUAAAUAAUAUUUAAUAGAAUUAAUAUUUGUCACAUAGUAAAUGUAUAAAUCUAUAUAGUAAACAGCACUAUUGGUCACAUAAGUUUUUGUUUUAAUCAUGUAAUUAUAAAAAAAAUUAUUUUCAUUACCGACGUUUUUAACAUCAAGUUUCUUUUUUUUUUUUAUCAUUCCUCGAUUAUUAAUUAUUAAUGGAAGUACGAUAGGUCUCUUUUUUAUUGGAAUAAUAGUAAAUUUAGUUCUCAAUAUUUAUAUAUUUUUUUCAAUUUGAUAAAAUGUGUAAACCUUGAGGAUUAAUUUAUUCUUAUUCUAAUUAAAAAAAGACGCAUCAUCAUUCUGUUGAUGAUCUUUUAUCAAAUUUAGCCCUCACUAUUUGUAUCUAUUAUCAUUUGAGUCCUUAUACUUUUUAAAAAUAAGUAAAUAAGAACAAUUGAAAUAAGUAUUUCUUACCCUAUACUCUUCCAAUAUAUUCUUUUAUCAAUAUUUCAUAUCUAUGACAAGAGAAAAAAGGAGAAGGAAAUUUUCAAUCGAAAAAUGAGUGGAGUGGCAAAUUAAGUCUUUAGUCGGCACUAAUUCUAAGUUCCAUCAUUAGAAAAUCUUACAUCCUUCUGAAAUUUAUGUACUCUAAUUUAAAAUUUAGUUAAAUAAUAAAAUUCACCAAUUUAGUUAAUUAAAAUUUUCUUUUCAAUUAUUUUUAUCAAAUGUUAACCCUAAUCUUAAGUUAUUACAUGGAUCUACUAAGGGUUUUAUUAGAUUAAUUAAAUAUCUACUGUAUUGUUUUAUACAAUAAAAUUAAACACUUUUUAAAUCUAAAACUUCUUGUAAUAAAAAAGUAUAAUAAAAAAGUAUGGUCAAUUAGUUUAAGCCUUAUUUAAUCUCUAAUGAGUGAUUUAAUGGAAUGCCUGAUACUUGUUUCUUGUUAUUAGGGGACAGAAUUUAUUGAAGGAAUAAAAUUAGACAUGUCUCAGAUUGAUAAACUACGAUUAUGUUCUUCUGUUUUUGAGAACAUGUUUAAUCUUAAAUAUAUCCACUUCUAUUUUCCUCCAUUUAUUGGAAAGCAACGAAAGAAGAAGCUACAUGUAGACCAAGUUGGCGAUGUAUCUCUUCCUGAUGAGCUAAGACUUCUCUGUUGGGAGUAUUACCCAUUUAGGUCUUUAUCAUCAAGUUUUGAUCCAAAGAAUCUUGUUGUGUUAAAAUUACCUCAUGGUGAUAUGGAACAACUUUGGAAUGAAGAUGAUCAUCAGGUAAUUUAUUCAUACUUUCUUGGUCCAAUAAAUUAAAAAAAAAAAGUGUGACAAAUGCCAACCCUUAUUAUAAUUAUUAUAAUUUUUUUUAUACUGCCCAAAGUAGUAAGUAGACAAUGCUAAGUAAUAAAGCUAUUUUAUAUUUUCAUUGCGCAGGAUCUUAUUAAUUUAAGAAAAAUUGUCCUUUCGAAUUGCAAGAAUUUAAAGAAGAUCCCUAAUCUAUUAGGAGCCAUCAACCUUGAAAUCCUUUGCUUUAAUGGGUGCAACAGUUUGGUUGAGCUUCCUGGCUUCAGUGAUUUGGCAUCUCUCAAAACGCUUCAGCUUCAUGGAUGUUAUAAUCUUACGAAGUUUCCUGAGCUCCCAAAUGAUGUUUCUUUCUUAGAUUUAGCAGAAACUGGAAUAGAAGAAGUGCCAGAUUCAAUUGAGCAUAUCGCUGGACUUGAAACAUUGUUAUUGGCAAAAUCAAAGAUAAAUAAUGUAUCGUGCAAUAUUUCGAAGUUGGAAUGCCUUCGUUAUCUGGAUUUUAGUCAUUGCCUAGUCGCCGAAUUCCCAGAAAUUCUACGAAGACCCGAGCUUGAAAGGGCUGAAGGAGCAACCUAUGCAUUUUCAUUGUCACUCGAUUUCCCCCUCCCUGAUUGGAGAAAGGUUCCGAUAGUUCAUGUGCCCCCCAAAAUCCUAAAGUUUAAAAGCCUUGAAUAUUUGAAAAUGGAUCAUUGCGAGAGUCUUAAAUUACUUUCGGAGCUUCCACCAUAUUUGCGGUACUUGGAUGCACAUGGCUGCAAAUCGCUAGAAAAAGUAUCGUUCACAGAUCGAAAUCAAGAUCAAUAUGAACUCUAUUCUUUUUACGGUAAAGAUGAGUUCUUUAUGAUAUUCUCUGAUUGCUUCAGCUUGAAUCAAGUUUCAAUUAAAAACAUUGAAGCAAAUGCCAUGCAAAAAAUUGAAUCACUUGUAAAGAAAUGGAGAUGUAAAUAUGAUUAUGGUCCAAAAUCAUUGUUUUGCUGUUUCCCAGGGAGCGAAAUUUCAGCCAGUAAAUUCGAGUAUCAGAGGAUGAAUUCUUCGUUGAAGUUGCAGAUAACCCCAAAUGAGUUUAGUGGGAGCAGAUUCUUGAGUUUUGCUAUCUGCCUUGUGGUUGAUCUCAAGUAUUGCCAUAAAUACAAUAAAGAUCUUCGAUGUAUCUGUGAAUACCAACUAACAGCCUUCGAUGGUUGUUAUGAAAAGUUCGAAUGUGAGUGGGGUUACAAGCUAGAUUUUGAGUUACAUCGAAAGUACAUGGGUGAUCACGUGUUGAUUCUAUUCAGUGACAAAAUGAUUAAAAAAGACGACGAUUAUGUGGAGGCAUCAUUUGAAUUUUAUAUAAAUAAAUGCUACUACAAAGGCGAUGCUGAAGUUGAUGAUAUCAAGGUCAAAAAAUGCGGUGUUCAUGUAUAUUAUGUGGCUGAAAACAACAAAGGUCCAAUUAGUCCUUAUACCAUGCAAAUGUGAGGACCCGAUUGGAGCCCCUCCAACGGAGCAUCAGAACUUAACGUCAGCGCUGGCCACGAGGGAAAACAGUAAAAUCACUAGGGACAACGGAAACAAAGGGGGAAAAAGGAGGAAAUUUGUUCAUGACUUAAAGGGUUGAUAUUGCAUCUCUUCCUUAGGUGCUAAGGUAAACUUUCCACCUAUUCCCUAUAUAUAUAUAUGUUAAUUUGAAAGACUGCUUUUGUUUGAGACUGGUUUUUCUUAUAAUAACCUAUGCUUUUAUGAUGGUGUAGGUGUUUGUUGUGGUAUAUCUUAGACUACAUAAUGAAUAGUCUCUUCAAUUUUCCCUCACUUUCAAUGCAUUUUGUUAUGUUUCUUAUGCAUAUCUUUUACAAUUAUAUGACUCAUUAUCAAGAUUUGGUAGUCUAAGGUGUUGUUUGAUAAUUUAUUAAAAAAUUUAAAUUGACUGAAAAUUAAUAUUUUUAAUGAUUUAAUUUUUUAAUCAUUUUUGAUAAUUCAUAAUAAAAAAGUAACUCAUAAAUUUUUUUUUUAUGAUGAUAAGUAGAUAAGGAGCUACUAAGUAGCAUUUAAUAUAAAAAAAUUCAAUUCUUUUUAUCUUAUUUUCUUUGUUUUAACAUUUAAAAUUUGAUAUUAUGAAAGGGAAUGAAGAUGGAAGUGACUGCUGUAAGCAAAUCAUAUGAGAAAACAGAGAGCCAAGAGAGAACUAAUGGCAGAUCUAUGGAAAGGCCAUUAUACUUUGAGCUUUAGCUAUACAAAAUAUCAGAGGAACAUGUAAGCUUUUAAUUUUUUAAGCUUUUAAUUUUUUCUACUGAAACGUUUGCUUCACACUUGUUCUUGAACUGAGAUAUUGAGACAGUACUGCAAUUUGUGAACAGAUUGCUUUGUUUUUGGACCUACAGAGGAACCGUAUGCUCUUGAGAAUUUAGCCUUCCUAGAAAAGAAAAUUAAGAACUUCAAAGUGAAGGGUUUGGUUUCAUGGUAGAGCCAUUCAACUUGAUUAUCACAUCAUCUUGGGCUGAAACUUGAAUGAAGUUUCCUUUUUUCAAGAUUAUGAGAGAUUGAAAUUUGAUUUUUGUAAUUAAAAUUCUAGAGUUUUACUCUGUUUUUGGAUUGAAAGGAUGCAAUAGUGGAAUUGGUAGUCACUAAAUGAGUGUCAUUUAGCAACUUGCAGAUUUUGUUGUGUUCAAUCUACUUGGAUUUGCAGGGAUAAAUCUAUUGAAUCAAAUUUUGUUUUGUUGUACAUUAGGUAAUUAAAAUAAGGAAAACUAUGUCAUACAUUGUGCCUAACCUUUGCAUUAUUAUUAUUUUAUUCUAUUGUUAACCUUUUCCUCUUGGAAUCAAAUGUACAAAUAUAAGAAACAAAUUGAAGUUUAAUGAACUUGAGAAUUCUCUUAUCUUGAUAAUCAUCCCAAAGCUUAAAUCCCUUAAAAUUGGCACCUUUCCACAUAUUAGUAUUUAAGGGGUUUUCCCCCCUAGAUUAGUACUUAGGAUUUUUUUGUAAAUUAUUUUGGUAACACCAUUUAAUUUGAAACACGUUACACUCUCAAAUCAUGACAUGUGUCAAUGAUGAUAUCAAUUCUAAUGACAUAAAAUUGGAAAUUUCUUUAAUAGUUUGUGAUAGUUGCUUCUUUUUUUCUCAUCUCCAUUCCCCUGUUGUGUCUUUGUUCUUUUGUAGAUAUAGCAUAUAUUGUCCAAGAUGGGAAUUCUCCAUAUAUAUUAAUUAAUUUGGAGGAAAAUUGAACGGCAGUUGGAGAUUUUAAUACAGUAGCAAAAUGAUUCUGCUUUGGAGUUGAUACAAUAUCCAUAGGGGAUUUUGGUGAGUACCAAAAUUCAGAUAUUAAAAUUCAUACUUAAUUCUUAUUGAGAGUUGACUUGUUAUUGGUUGGUUUUUUUUUUAAAUCAUAGGACCAAUGGUGGACUCGAUUCAGCUUCAUUGUUUAGUUUCCAGCAUUGGUGUCAUCUGGUAUCUCAAAACUCGCUGCAUUUUCGUUCAAUCAUAGCUUGAUUCAUUAGAAAAGAUUGGUUAUUUGCGAGAUUGGUUUUUCUUAUAUCCUUUUCUUUUUUGUUGAUGUAAGACUAGGGAAUGAUAGAUCAUUGAGAACACCUGAGCUGUAAGACCUUCAAUUUGUUUUACUGAAUUCAAAGUAAUCUUUUGAGGCCCUUUCUGGUUCUGGCAAUUCAGUCUUGGUGGAGAAGUAAGUUACCUUUGACUUAGACUUAUUAUUAUGAUUUUAGGUUCAUAUAAUGAUUUUCAGCAUCCUCACCUUCUUUUCCCAUAUUUAUCAAUGGGAUUAUAUAAAUCCAGAAUUUGCUAGAGAUCUCAAAGCUUGUGGGCUGAACACAUGGAGGUGGAGACAACUUUUGACAGUUUUCAUUCUCUAGCUAGAUUGGGUUAGUUUCAUGGUAGAGCCAUUGGAGUCGAUAUUUUCUUAUCUUGGAUUUUGAUUAUCAUAUCAGUUUGGACUGAAAUUUCUUUGUAUGUUACUGCCUCUCAUGUUGUUUGAGCAUUGCAGUGAAGACAUAUUAAGAUUCAUACUUGAAUUCUUGUUGGCAAUUGACUUGUUAUUGGUUGGUUUUGAUUCAUAGGAUCGGUGGUGGAUAUCAUCCAGCUUAAUUGUUUAGGUUCCACCAUUGGUGCUCAAGCCAUGGGCAGUAAGUAGAGAUUUAAUCAUAUUGUAUCUCAAUACUCUCUGCAUUUUACUUCAAUGAUUCAUUCACCCAUUGAUUUAUGUUUCAUAUUUCCUUAAAACGUUAGUAAAUAUAUAUAUAUAUGUUUUCAGUUCAUGAUUUCUGAUCUAUAUUCAUGUUAGCUAAGGUAAACCUACCAACUAUUCCCCAUAUAUAAUCUAUUGGCUAUGUUUUAUUAUUUUGAAUUUUAUGACUAUGAUCUGUUGAUUCCAUAAAACUUGAUGAAAGUCAAGCCGGACACAAGUUCAAUACUCUACUGGAAUUGAAGUUGCAGAUUAUGGGUGGUUUUGAUAUCUUCUUUCUCACCAACAAAUGAAGUUCCCACAAAAUUACUGGUGUUAAGGUGAAUGUUGUGAAUCAAUGCAAAACCCACAUUUAUAGAUGUGCCCUUUUACCUAGAGAUUAAGCUUUUUACUUUUUGAAUUUGGUAAUGUGAAGGAAAUAAAGAUGGCAAUGGUUGAUGAAAGGAAAGCAGAUGAGGGAAUAAAUCACAGAUGUUUGUAACAAGUAAGCUUUUAUGAUGUUCAAUUUCUUCUACUGAAGGAUUUCUUUAUAUUGCGGUUGAAUUGAGAUAUUGAAGCAGUACUGCAACUUUUCAACAGAGUUGUCUUGUUCAUCCCAUCCAGCUUUGCUUCAACGCUUUCUGGAUUUUGAUCAUUGAGAGGAAGCACAUGAUCUUGGGUAAAUUACUUUUAACUCAUUCUGAUUAUUAGUAUAGUCAUGGCAUUCUUUUCCCUUGAUUUACCAAUGGAUUAUAUAAAUGCAUGCAGAAUUAGGCAGAGUUGCUCUUAUCUGAAAACAAGUUGAAAGAACACAUGGAACUUGGAUGUUAUUUUCAAUGCCAACCCUAACACAGUUUUCAUUCUCAAGCUGGAUUGAUGAGCUUUUAUGUUUACCCCAUAGAGGAACCCAACAUAAACACUUGGAAGAAAACAAUCCAAAUGAUUUUGGUUUAGUUGGAACUUCAAAGUGCAGAGCUGGUUUCAUGGUAAAACCAUUUGACUUGAUUGUUAUAUCAGUCUGGGCUAAAAUUUGAAUCAAUUUUCCCCUUUUGUAAUUAAAAUUCCAGAAUUUUGCUCUGUUUUGGAAUUGAAAGGAUGCAACAUUGGAAUUGGUUUGUACAUUCGUUUUUAUGAGAUGGUAUCCAACAAGUUCAAGAUUCGUAGCUUAGUAAUUAAAAUAACUUUCUGUAACACUAAACUAUGAUCUACCAUAAGAAAAAACACAAAUUUUAUACUUCUCUGAUUAUUUUAUAAUGCCAUGUGACUUAAAAUUUUAGUAAUUAAAAGGAUUCUGCUUUGGAGUUCUAAAAAAUAUCCAUGCGAAGCCGUGGUGGGUACCAUAGUUUAGAUAUGAAGCUUCAUACUUAAAUUCUUUUAGGCAGUUGACUUGUUAUUGGCUGGUUUUAACUCAUAGGAUCAGUGGUGGACUUCAUUCAGCUUCAUUGUUUAGUUUCCAGCCUUGGUUCUUAUGCCAUAGGGAGUAGGUGUAGCUGUUGGAACAUUGGCAGCAACAUAAGCAAGAAUGAAAACAAAAGCCAAAGAAGGAAUUGAAAAAUGAAAGAGAAAGUUUGAACAAAGUUGCAACCGAAUGAAAAUCAUUUUCAUUGAUUGAAAAUUAAAAAAAUUUAUGAGUUACAACCAUGUUUGACAGUUACCUAAUAGUUGUAACUGCUCUCACUAAUACUAGACAAACAUAAUCUUUGAAUUACAAGUAAAAGUAAGCUAACAUUUCAGCUAUUACAUCAAGUACCAAUCAAAAAACUAAUCCAACUAGAUUGUGAUCAAAUUACAAUCAAACUAAACUAAGUUACAUAGGAACAAAAUGAACAAAAUGGUCCAAAGCUAGCUGCUGCAUUCGGUUCUACUCCUUGCUGGUCUGCUUGUUGAGCUGCUGGUCACAUGUUGCAUUGCAGGCCAAUGCUCAACACUCCUCCUUGGACUAUAUGCAACAUACACCAAUCUUGCUUCUUAAAACCUCGAACCUUGUUGCACCAAGUGGCUUAGUCAAAAUGUCAGCCUAUUGGUCUUGUGAGCUGCAAUGAACAAGACUGAUUUCUUCUGAUUGCUCAGCUUCUCAAACAAAGUGAAACUUGAUCUUAAAAUGCUUGGUUCUUCCAUGAAAAACUGGAUUCUUAGCAAUAGCCACUGCUGAUUGGUUGUCAACUUUGACUUCAGUAGGUUCACAUUGCUCUUCAUUUAGAUCGCAUAGCAACUUUCUAAGCCAAAUGGCUUGAUUCACUGCUGCUGCUGCUGCAAUAUAUUCUGCUUCAGCUGUGGAUUGAGCAACAGUUUGUUGCUUCUUAGAACUCCAACAAAAAACUCCUGAACCAAGAGUAAAGAAGUAGCCAGAAGUGCUCUUCAUGUCAUCAACAGAACCAGCCCAGUUACUAUCUGAAUAUCUUGUUAGCUUGAGCUCAUUUUCCUUCUUAAACAUGACUCCAUGGUUCAGAGUCCCUUUGAUGUAUCUGAGGAUUUUUUAACUGCCUUGAGGUGAAUUACAUUGCAGCACUGCAUAAAUCUUGAUAGGAGACUAACACCAAACAUAAUAUCAGGCCUAGUUGCUGUUAAGUAAAGCAGGCAACCUACUAGGCUUCGAUAUUCUUUUUCAUCAACUCUUGCUUCAAUCCCAUCACUGGACAACUUCUCCCCUUGUGCUACUGGUGUGCUUACUGAUUUGCAGUUUGACAUGUAAAAUCUAUCAAAGAUCUUUAAUGCAAAAGCAUGUUGGCUGAUAAAAAUGCUUUGAUCAGACUGGUUCACUUCCAUACCAAGGAAGUAUGUCAUAAUUCCUAGGUCUGUCAUCUCAAAUACUUCCAGCAUUUGCUCUUCAAAUUCAUUGAUCAAUUCAUCUUUGCUUCCAGUCACAAGUAGAUCAUUUACAUAGAGUGACACAAUCAGUAAGGUUUCACCUUCUGAUCUCUUCACAUAGAGUGUGGCUUCACUGACACUCUUUUCAAAUCCAAGCUUAGACAGGUAGGUGUUUAUUCUGUCAUACCAGGCUCUUGGUGCCCGUUUCAGGCCAUACAAGGCUCUCUUUAAUCUAUAAACCUUGUCUUCUUGUCUUUGGACUUUAAAGCCUUCUGGCUGCUCUGUGUAAAUUUAUUCCUUGAGAAAACCAAUCAAGAAAGCUGAUUUGACAUCAAGUUGAUGAAUCUUCCAUUGUUUCUAUGCAGCCAAAGUAAACAAAAGCUUGAUUGUGUCAAGCCUUGCUACUGGAGCAAAUGUCUCUAUAAAGCCAGUGCCAUAUUGCUGACUAUAGCCCUUCACCACCAACAUUGCCUUGUGUUUGUUCAAAGAGCAAUCAGAGUUGAAUUUGGCUCUAAAAACCUACUUGACACCUAUGACUUUCUAUUGGUCUAGUCUAUCAACCAAGUCCCAUGUCUCAUUCUUCUUGAUCAUCUCAAGCUCAGCUUCCAUAACCUUUCUCCAGCAUUUGUCCCUUGCAGCAUCUUCAUAGCUAGAUGGCUCAACUAUAGCAACAUUGCAUCUGUGCUAAAUGUCAGCAAUGGUUCUGGUUCCUCUCACAAGAGGAUCAUCGAUGUCUGCAUUUUCUGGUCUAUUCUCAGCUAGCUCUGGGCUGAUGUCAAAUUGGUCUUCAUCAAACUGGCUUGCAUCUGAACCUUCCCAAUUCCAAAACUUUUCCUCAUCAAAUUUGAUGUCCUUGCUCACCAAAAUCUUCUUUUUUUGAGGGGUCAUACACUCUGUAGCCCUUUUUGGUAUUGCUGUAGCCAACAAAUAUACCAUGAGCAAACUUUCUCUCAAGUUUAGUUCUACUUUCAGCUAGAAUAAGCACAUAGCACACACAUCAACAGAUGGCUUGAGUCCAUGCCAGGCUUCAAAAGGUGUUUUGUCCUUCAUUGCUCGAGUUGGAAGCUUGUUGAGCAAAUAUACUGAGGUAUUGACUGCCUCAGCCCAAAAUUUGUUUGGAAGUUUGCUUUGAAAUAGCAAAAAUCUGGCCAUAUCCAUCACUGUUCUAUUCUUCCUUUCACAAACUUCAUUUUGCUGUGGAGUGUAAAUAGUGGUUAGCUGAUGAUGGAUCCCUGCCUGCUCACAAAGCUUUUGAAACCUCUCAAACAAGUAUUCAGCCUCAUUGUCAAUUCUCAAGGACUUAAUCUUACAACCUGUUUGGUUCUCUACUAAUGCCUUGAAUUUGCCAAAAGCUUCAAAGACUUCAGACUUCUGUUUCAUGAAGUAGACCUAGCAAAAUCUGGUCAAAUCAUCAAUGAACAGCACAAAAUACUUGUUGUCAUUCAAAGAAAGGGACUUCAUUGGUCCACAAACAUCAGAGUGCAUCAGCUCAAGCCUUUCUCGAGCUCUUCAUGCCUAGUUCAUUGGAAAAGGCAAUCUAGCUUGUUUGACAAGCUGACAAACUUCACAAACAGUCUCCCUUGCCUCAACUUUGCACAUAUCAUCUACCAAAUUCAUCUUAUGCAACAGAUCAAGUGAUCUGAAAUUACAAUGGCCUAGUCUUCUAUGCCAUAGGCCAGCAUUAUCAGCUAAGCUUGUAUAAGCUUUCUUCUCAAGUUGGUUCACAUCAAGCUUGAAACAUUUGUCUACCAUGCCUACAGUAAUCAUCUCCUGGCCAGGGAAGUCCUCAAUAACACAUGAACCAUUCUUGAAAACUAGAGAAUACCCUUUUUCAACUAACUGACCAACACUCAACAAGUUCUGAUCAAUGUCAGGUACAAAAAGCACAUCUGAAAUGACUCUGAACCAGUGUUGAUCACAACAUUCCCUUUGCCUUUGGCUUCAAUCAGACUCCUAUUGCCUAUUCUGAUUUUUUAGGCAUAGCUUCUGUCAAGAUCUUUGAACAUGCUUUCAUCAGCUGCCAUGUGAUGUGUGUAGCCACUAUCCAUCAGCCAAUUGCAUUUGACCUUGCUUGUGGUAGUAAAGCUUGAGGCUGUGAAAACAUGCUCCUCCUGAGCUUGAAGGUCCUCAGCAGCUUGAGCCUGAAUCUGCUGCUGUACCGGUGCCUUUGCUUUGUUUUUACAAACUUUCUCAACAUGGUCAAACUACUUACAGUUUCUACAUUGGAUGUCUGGCCUAAACCAGUAAUAUUUUUCCAAGUGUGUGGUCUUUUUGCAGUGGACACAUGGUGGAUACCUCCUCUUGCCUGAAUCCUUCCUUGGUUUGUCCCUCUUGUCAAGCCAAGGCUUCUUUCCUUUCUGCCUUGUGUUGGAGCUUUCUUUGGCCUUUGCUUGGAAGGCUCCUUCAGGAUGAUCUUCCUGCCUGUUAGCCCUUCUCUGCUCCAAAGCAUAAAGAGAGUUCACCAAUUCUGCAAGGAAAUGGUUGUCAAGUCCCUUGAAUCCUUAAGUGAUGAGAUUUUAGACUCAAAUCUCUCAAGAAGAGUGGUGAUGAACUUCACCACAACUCUGCUCUCACUGAAGUCUUCACCAAGCAACCUUAUGCUAUUGACAGUGGCCAUGAUCCUGUCUGAAUAUUGCUUGAUGCUCUCAGAUUCUUUCAUUUUCAGGUUCUCAAAAUCUCUCCUCAAGUUAAUCACUUGUUACUACCUUAUUUUAUCUAAUCCCAUAAACUCCUCCUUCAGCCUCUCCCAUGCUUCCUUAAGUGUGCUGCAAGCCAUGAUUCGAGUGAAGAUUACAUCUGUCACUCCAUUUUGCAAUCAGGCCAAGGCUUUGUGCUUCUUUGUGCUCUCCUCAGCAUGCUGCCUCAUCUGAGCAAUUAUGGAUUAGCCCUCAAUGGAGGUGUCUCGAAAUCAUUCUCAACUACACUCCAUAAGUCUUGUGCUUGAAGGUAUGUUUUCAUUUUGACUACCCAAAUGUGGUAGUUCUUACCAUCAAACACUGAAGGUGGAGGUGGAGUGAAACUGGAGGUGGAGGUAGAGUGAAACUCAUCCUGCUGAAAUAAGUUUAACAACUUCAAACUCUUGCUUCUCGUACUUUUGUUUUCUCAAAAAAUAAAACAACCAACAACAAAGGCCUCCCAAGACUUAGGCUCUGAUUACCAUUUGUUGGAACAUUGGCAGCAACAUAAGCAAGAAUGAAAACAAAAGCCAAAGAAGGAACUGGAAAAUGAAAGAAAAAGUUUGAACAAAGUUGCAACCAAAUGAAAAUCAUUUUCAUUGAUUGAAAAUUCAAAAAAUAUAUAAGGUACAAACAUGUUUGACAGUUACCUAAUAGUUGUAACUGCUCCCACUAAUACUAGACAAACAUAAUCUUUGAAUUACAAGUAAAAGUAAGCUAACAUUUCAGCUAUUACAUAAAAUACCAAUCAAAAAACUAAUCCAACUAGAUUGUGAUCAAAUUACAAUCAAACUAAACUAAGUUACAUAGGAACAAAAUGAACAAAAUGGUCCAAAGCUAGUUGCUGCAUUCGGUUUUGCUCCUUGCUGGUCUGCUUUUUGAGCUGCUGGUCACAUGUUGCAUUGCAGGCCAAUGCUCAAUAGUAGCUUUAUUGUUUAGUUUCCAGCAUUGGUCUUAAUACUCACUUUAUUUGCUUGCUUAUGUCCUUGGUAUUUGUUGUGCUUUUUACUUGCUAGUUUAAUGCAACGUAACAUAUGUUAACCAAAACAGAGUGUCAAUAGAGAAUGGAUGGUAGUUCUUUGGAGAUGCCAUUAUGUUUGGAGUUUUACCUAUAAUAGAAAAAAGAGGAGCAAGUAAGCUUUUCAAGAGCUUCAAUUUCUUCCGAUGAAUGCUUGCUUUAUGUUUGUGCAUGAACUGAGAUAUUGAGGCAGUACUGCAACUUGUCAACAAAUUUGCCUUCUUGAUCUUAUUCAACAUUGAGCCAAUGCAAAUUGAAGCCAUUUCCUAAGCUCUUUCUGCUUUUUGAACCUUCAGAGGAACCAUAUGCUCUUCGGCAAUUUAGCCUUCCUAGAGAGGUAAUUUACCUUUGUUUCAGUGUGAUGUUUUUAGCAUCCUCAUGACCUCUUUCCUCUAAUUUAUCAAUUGGUUUAUAUGAAUUCAGAAUUUUCCCUAAUUUAUCAUUGUGAUAAAUAAUUGAUACUAAUAUUAUAUGAAAAUAACUAAAAAGGUACCCCUCGCCUCACCGUUCUUUCCCUCUCCAUAUAUUAAAAAUUUAUCUAUACUUUUAUUUAAUUAGGCCUUUUUGGUCUGUAUUAUUUUUCAUUUCCAUUUUAGCUUUUUUUUUUCUCCUUCAUUGUAAUACUUUUGUUUCCUGCUUUAAUUCUAGAGAAUUGUCAAAUUGAACUGAACUGAAGACCAAAAAGGUGAUAAAUUUUGAGGGACGAGGGGUUAUUUUUUAUUUUAAUAUUAAUAUAAUUAAUUUUUAUUUAAUAUUAACAUAAAAUAAAUUUUUAAUUAUAUUUUAACGGGUGACAUGAUAAUUUUUUGAUUGGCUGACUGUGAUGAAUAAAUGCUAACUUAGAUUACAGAAUAAAAGUUUAAGUACAUAACUCAAAUGAAUAAAAUUUUUUAAGGUUUUUCUAGUUGAAUUGAGCCUCUAUUUAUUUUCUCAUUAUGAAUGUGAUGUGCGUACUUUGUUGAUAAUUCGGACCACCAGAUUUGAUGUAACCAAAUUCUACUUUAAUGGAAAUGUAUGAUGAUUGGACGCAAAAAUUAACCUUUUUGACUAACGAAAAAGGAUAAAAGAAAUAGCCUUUUUCUGGGAUAAGGCAGUGGAAUGGAAGUUUCCCGUUCUUCUAAAAACUCUGGGGACAUCUAAAAACGUAAAAAAUUUAUAUAUUAAAUACAUAAAUAAUCAUAUUUAUUUAAUAUAAAAAUAAAUUAAUGUAUUUUUUUAUUUAAAUUAUUUUCUCUUUUUCUUUUUUACACUUGUUCUUCUUAUAAUAACACCACAAUCCAAGCAAAACUCACUGUACAAAAUUAAUAUAUAUUUUAAUUUUAAUUUGAAAAUUUAAUUUUAAAGUAAUAUAAUUAAAAUUAAUUACUAGUUGAAUAUUUGAUUCAGUAUUCAAAACUCAGGGAUAAAUACUAGAAAGUUCAUGCCACCUGUAAAGGACUCAGUCUAAUAAAAAUAAGAAGAUAGCAAAGAUGAUGGAUAUUUCACUCUUUAUCUUCUCACAAUAAUACCAAAGAUGAUGCUACGAUCAUAAUUCUUUUCAUUCUUCUUCAAAAGUACGAAAACAAAGCUCCCAUGGUGCAUCUCUUUUGCCUCAAUCGCACAAUCCAUACUCUUUGACUUCUUCUUCUUCUUCUCUUUUGCCUCAAUCAGACAAUCCAUACUCUUUGGCUUCUUCUUCUUCUUCUCUUUUGCCUCAAUCAGACAAUCCAUACUCUUUGGUUUCUUCUUCUUCUUCUCGUCAAAUGAAGCACCAAGUUUUCUUGAGCUUCAGAGGUGAAGACACACGCCUUAACUUCACCAGUCAUCUACACAAAGCUUUGAAGGACAAGGGACUGAAUGUCUUCUUCGAUGAAGAAAAACUAGAGAAAGGGGAGCAACUUUCACCAGCACUUUCUCAAGGAAUUGCAGCCUCAAAUCUCUCAAUCCUUGUUUUAUCUAAAGACUAUGCUUCUUCAAAAUCGUGCCUAGCUGAACUCUCUGCAAUCAUGGACCGCAAGCAGACACAAGGACAUAUUGUUCUUCCCAUCUUUUACCAUGUUGAUCCUUCCCAUGUAAGAAAUAUUGGUGGGAGUUUUACAACAUCCUUUGAAGAGCAUGAAUCGAAGAGGCCAGUUGAUGAAGUUGAUGAAGUGAAGCGAUGGAAAGCAGCCUUUGCUGAAGUUGGUAACUUAAAAGGGUGGCAUAUAGGAGGAGACAAAUCUGACAGGUAACUAUAUUUUUCUCACCUUCUUAUAUUUGAGUUACCUUUGUUUUGGAUUUCAUAUAUCUAUGUAUAUUUAUUUAUUUAUUGUAUGCUAGACCUGAAGCAGGGUACAUUGAGGAAAUUGUUAAAAAAGUUAUAGAAAAGUUGAGGAGUAGCAGAUCUAGACAUGUUUCUGAAGAACUGGUUGGAAUAGAUUAUCAGAAAGAUGCAAUUUGAGGCUGAUUGAGGAAAAAGGCAGUCGUGUAAUAGGACUCUGGGGAAUGGGUGGUAUAGGCAAAACUACCCUUGCUGAAGCUGUAUAUGAGGAAAUGUCUCAGAAUUUUGAAAGCCGUUGCUUUCUUCAAAAUGUUAGUGAGAAAAUACAAACACACGGAAAGGAAAUUUUACGAAAUGAUCUUCUUUCCAAACUGUUAAAUGAAAAAUAUAUUAAAAUAGACACUCCUUCGAUAGGAUACCCUUACCAAGAGAGGUUGAACAAUAAAAAAGUACUUGUCGUGCUUGAUGAUGUUAGUCACCAAGAUCAAAUAGCUAUUAUGGGUGUUAAACAUUUUGGUGAUGGAAGUAAAAUCAUUGUAACAUCUAGAGAUAGAACAGUACUUGACAAUGGAGCUGACGAAACUUCUGAGGUGAAGAAUUUAAAUGAGAUUGACUCUCUUCAACUGUUUUCUAUUUGUGCGUUUAAGCAGUUUGUUGUGCGGAAGCGUGUAAAAGAGUAAAAUUAUUGUACUAAAAAAUCACACUAAGUUCAAUUCCCAGGAAAGAGAGGUGGAUCACAAGGAUCGCUUAAGUACCAGGUCUUUCCUAGCCAGAAUAUCCCUCAAUCGUAAUUUAAUAGCACAAUAAAUCACUACAAUCACACACACAAUUCAUGCAGAAUAAUACAAUAAAGAACACAAGAAUUUAACGAGGUUCAGCAAAUUUUGCCUACGUCCUCGGGCACUACCAAAUAUAUUUCACUCCAAAAUACAAGUGAGAAUUUACAAAGAGAGAGAGAGAAAACAAUGUCUUAAGUAGAGAAUGGCAAGUUUGAGAUACAGAAUGAGAGAUGGUUAUGCCUAUUUAUAGUUGAGGUUCAGGGAUCAACUUGCAAAGUCACUUUACAAUUAGGGACCAUAUAUUGCAAAUAUCUCAGAUUUUAUUAUGCCAAUAUAUCGAUACCCAUAUCUUUGACUUUCCAAUAUUUGAUACCCAUAUCUUUGACUUAUUAUUUGAUACCCAUAUCUUUGAUUUUCUAUAAAUAUGGAUAAUUCCCAAUACAGUUCAAUCCUGAUGCUGAUUAUCGAGACCUAUCAAUAAAGUUUGUAGAGUACACCCAAUACAAUCCACUUGCUCUAAAAGUUUUGGGUUGCCAACUAUAUAACAAGGGUAGAGUAUAUUGGGAAAGCGAGAUGGAUAAGUUAAAGGAAUAUAUCGAACCAGACAUUUAUAAGAUUUUGAAGACAAGCUUUGACGGGCUUGAUGAACAAGAAAAGAAUAUAUUCCUUGAUAUUGCAAUCUUCUUCAAAGGGGAACCUAAGGAAAAUGUAGAAAAUAUUCUAAGUAAUUGUUAUAAUGGCGCAGAGUCUAGCAUCAGAAACUUGAUCGACAAGUGCCUACUAAAUAUUACCCCUCUUCCUAUUUCUUUGCGUGAUAUGCUUGAAAUUCGCAGUAAGUUUCUCAAGAGGAAAGCAGAAGAGAUUGCAAGUUCCCCUUCCAGAGGUGCAUUAGAUGAUCGAAGAAGUAGUUUCUUGGAUGAGAUUCCGCAAUGUAUUUCUAUGCAUGAUAUGGUUGAGCUGAUGGGCAAGGACAUUGUUCGCAAAGAAUUUAGAGUUCCUCGAAAGCGCAGUAGGUUAUGGAAUCCUAAUGAAGUAAAGCAAGUGCUCAAAUAUAAUAAAGUAAGUAUUAAUUGUACUUAUGUUUCUUUUUAUAUUUUUUUUAUAUAUUUGUAGAUACCAUGUAUAAGGUAGUAAUCCCUUGAGAACACCAAAUACCUGAACGAAAAUCGCCAAAAAGAAAAACAAAAUAAUACCAACUCAACAAUAUAUAUAUUUAAACCAAAUCACAUCCAUUGAAAUCAUUAUAAAAAUUAAUUACUUGUAUUUAGUUUUAGUUGAUAGAGAUAGAAGAUUUACUUACAACUCAACUUCAACUCCAAUAAUUCAAACUCUCAAAUUUAUGUACUCUAAUUUAAAAUUUAGUUAAAUAAUAAAACUCACUAAUUUAAUUAACUAAAAUUUUCUUUUCAAUUAUUUUUAUCAAAUGCUAACCCUAAUCUUAAGUUAUUACAUGGAUCUACCAAGGGUUUUUAUUAAAUUAAUUAAAUAUCUAAUGUAUUGCUUUAUACUAUAAAAUUAAACACUUUUUAAAUCUAAAAUUUCUUGUAAUAAAAAAGUAUGCUCAAUUAGUCUAAGCCUUGUUUAAUUUCUAAUGAGUGAUUUAAUAUAGUGCCUGAUACUUGUUUCUUGUUAUUAGGGAACAGAAUGGAUUGUAGGAAUAAAGUUAGACAUGUCUCAAAUUGGUAAACUACAGUUAUGUUCUUCUGUUUUUGGGAAAAUGCUUAAUCUUAAAUAUAUCGACUUUUAUUUUCCUCCAUUUAUUGGAAAGCAACGAAAGAAGAAGCUACAUGCAGAUCAAGUUGGCGAUGUAUCUCUUCCUGAUGAGCUAAGACUUCUUUGUUGGGAGUAUUACCCAUUUAAAUCUUUAUCACUAAGUUUUGAUCCGAAGAAUCUUGUUGUGUUAAAAUUACCUCAUGGUGAUGUACAACAACUUUGGAAUGAAGAUGAUCAUCAGGUAAUUUUUUCAUACUUUCUUCAUUCAAUAAAUUAAAGAUGUAUACCAAAUACUAUAAUAACUUUUUUUUAUACUGCACAAAGUAAGUAGACAAUGCUGAGUAAUAAAGCUAUUUUAUAUUUUCAUUGCGCAGGAUCUUAUCGAUUUAAGAAAAAUUGUCCUUACGAAUUGCAAGAAUUUAAAGAAGAUCCCUAAUCUAUUAGGAGCCGUCAACCUUGAAAUCCUUUGCUUUAAUGGGUGCAACAGUUUGGUUGAACUUCCUGGCUUCAGUGGUUUGGCAUCUCUCAAAACGCUUCAGCUUCAUGGAUGUUAUAAUCUUAAGAAGUUUCCCGAGCUCCCAAAUGAUGUUUCUUUCUU